rnacentral:lncRNA from 1 species
UCUACAUCCUCGACCAGGCCGAGGAGGAGGGGAUCGACCUGCCCUACUCCUGCCGCGCCGGCUCCUGCUCCUCCUGCGCCGGCAAGUUGGUGUCCGGCGAGAUCGACCAGUCCGACCAGAGCUUCCUCGACGACGACCAGAUGGAGGCAGGGUGGGUGCUCACCUGCCACGCCUACCCCAAGUCCGACAUCGUCAUCGAGACCCACAAGGAGGAGGAGCUCACCGCAUAAGCUGCUUUACCUAUCUCUCUUUGCAAGAUAAUAUCACGGACCCUGAGACCUGUGUAAACCCUGAGAGCUGAUUUCAUGCAUGCACGGACAUUGCCAGAUACACCGAAUUGUUUGUGCUCGAAUGAAUUGCUCGAUGCAUGGUUUGCUCAAGUAAUAAUGUCUUCGAAUUACUACCUUUUUGUACCGUAAGAUAUACUACUGCCGUAAUACUAGCGUGUACCUUGUACGUAACUCGACGUACUGAAAUGAAUCCUGAUGGCUGAGGCGUCUCUCUGAUUAAUAAUAUCUUCUCUUUAAUUAAGAGACUGCUGAAUUACUUGAUGAACAUCUUACCUGGGACUUUCUUCUAUAUCCAGAUAAUAGGUGCAUGCUACGACUUGUUUCAAUAUGAGUUACACAAUUUCCUCAUUAUUUUGUUUACCCACAAGGAGACCUCUUUUCCGCACUCAUUUUUGUCCUCACUACUGAUUUGCUCCAAUCCAUUUUCAAUGAAGCUUUGGACAACAAUUUGAUAGGUUUGCCCAUUAUCACUAAGAAUAACAGAGAUUUCCUUAUAAUCCAGUAUGCAGAUGACACCAUUAUUAUCUUGCAUGCAUGUCCCUUGCAAAUUCAACAAGUUCAGAACAUAUUGAUGCAUUUUCGGGUUUACACAGGUCUCAGGGUCAACUACAACAAAUCCAUGAUGGUUCCCAUGAAUGUACCUGCUCAUAACAUCAAGCAACUCUCAGCUAUUUUAGGUUGUGCCCACAGUAGUUUUCCCUUUACUUACCUUGGACUUCCUCUUGGCAUUUCUAAACCCAAGGUUGAAGAUUUUGAAAAGGAUUGGAUCUAGACUUGCUGGUUGCUCCACAAUGCUUUCCUAGGGAGAGAAACUCAUUCUUGUGAAAUCUGCUUUCACUAGCCUACCUACUUCCUUCAUGAGCAGUUUAGACCUCCCCAUAGGAGUUGUUGGCCAUAUUAAUAAAUACUUGAGACAUUGCUUUUGGAGGAAAUAUGGGAUGGACGACAGACGUACUUCUCUUAUAUUCUUGGGAUAAAAUUUGCCUUGCUAAGGAAGCUGGUGGACUUGGAGUUCUUGAUGUGCAAACUCAGAACAAAGCUUUGUUGAUGAAAGAUCUGCAUAAUUUUUUCAAUAGUUCUGACCUCCCUUGGGUGGACCUUAUGUGGAGCUCCUACUAUACUUCUACCCCCUCCUCAUGUCACACCUGUUGGUUCCUUCUGGUGGAAGUUUAUUCUCAAAUUAAUCCCUGAUUUUAAAGCCAUCUCUUCCUGCAGCAUGGGGCAAGGGAACUAUGUUCUUCUGUUAUUUGAUAAUUGGGAUGGUAACAGAUUCAUUGAUAGAUUCCCUGAGCUUCAUUCUUUUGUUGUGAAUGACCAAUUCUCAAUUGAGCAAGCAUUGCACAUCAACCCUCCAGAGGAUCUAUUCCAUAGGCCACUCUCCACCCAAACUUUCCAGCAGUUCCAGGGUUCCCAAAACUUUAUGAAUAAUAUUCAGUUUUCUGGCUCCAAAGACAAAUGGUCUUACAUCUGGGGAUCUUCUCAGUCCUCUAUUGCAAAGGUUUACAAAACCUUGAGGGUUAAACCACCUACACCACCUCUCUUCAACCUGUUAUGGAAGAGCUCAGUAAUCCUUUGAUAUAAGAUUUUCUUCUGGUUUCUCCUUCAUGAUAGACUGAAUUCAAGAGAGCUUCUACAAAGAAAAUCCUUGUGGCUACCCAAUUAUGAUUGUGGAAUGUGUGACACUAAAUCCUUGGAAACUGCUUUUCACUUGUUUUGGAACUGCCCUUUUUCUAUUCAAUGUUGGGAGACCUCGAUUCCGCAGAUAUUGAGGAACAACUCAGUUUACACAUAUAUCCAACUAGCGGUGCCCCCCCCCCUCCUGAUUUGGCCCUGGACAUCAUAAUUAUGGCUUCAUGGAAUAUAUGGAUUCAAAGAAACAAUGCAAUGUUCAAAAAUACCACACACAGUGUGGCCUCCUGGAAAAUAUUGCUUAGAAGAGAUCUCCAAAUUCUGGCUCACAGAAGACAACAAAGUAGCAAGACUGCAAGCCUGGAUUAAAGUUAACCUUUAAUUUCUCAUGUUGCCAAAAGGUGGGAUUGGUUGAGUUGUAUUUUCUUUUUUCUGUUUGUACAUACUUUUAUUAUUAAUGAAAAUUUAACCAUACAACUAUUGUUCUAUGAUCAGUGCCUAAAAAAUGUUUGAGGCUAGCAGAAUGUUUGUUUACAUGGUCCUCAUUUUUUUCUGAAAAGGGAUAAUAUGUUUGUAAGAUCGUGAAUGUCACCUAGAGGGGGGUGAAUAGGCGCUUUAAAAUAAUUACGGUUUAGGCUUGAACAAAUGUGGAAUAAAACUAGCGUUUAAUUUGUCAAGCACAAAACCUAAAACAACUAGGCUCACCUGUGUGCACUAACAACUUAUGCUAAGCAAGAUAAACAACUAAGUGAUAGAAAGAUAUAUAACAUGUCAUAUUAUGGCUAUCACAAAGUAAAGUGCAUAAGUAAAGGGCUUGGGUAAGAGAUAACUGAGGCACACGAAGACGAUGAUGUAUCCCGAAAUUCACACCCUUGCGGAUGCUAAUAUCCGUUUGGAGCGGUAUGGAGGCACAAUUGUUGGGGAACGUAGUAAUUUCAAAAAAAUUCCUACGCACACGCAAGAUCAUGGUGAUGCAUAGCAACGAGAGGGAAGAGUGUUGUCCAUGUACCCUCGUAGACCGAAAGCGGAAGCGUUAGAACAACGCGGUUGAUGUAGCCGUACGUCUUCACGGCCCGACCAAUCAAGCACCGAAACUACGGCACCUCCGAGUUCUAGCACACGUUCAGCUCGAUGACGUCCCUCGAACUCCGAUCCAGCCGAGUGUCAAGGGAGAGUUCCGUCAGCACGACAGCGUGGUGACGAUCUUGAUGUUCUACCGUCGCAGGGCUUCGCCUAAGCACCGCUACAAUAUUAUCGAUGAGGACUAUGGUGGAGGGGGGCACCGCACACGGCUAAGAGAUCAAGAGAUCAGUUGUUCUGUCUAUGGGGUGCCCCCCUCCCCGUAUAUAAAGGUGUGGAGGAGGGGGCCGACCAAGGGGGUGGCGCGCCCUAGGGGGGAGUCCAACUCCCACCGGGAGUAGGACUUCCCCCUUUCCUAUUAGGAGAGGGAGAGGGAAGGAAGAGGAAGGAGGGAGGAAGGAAAGGGGGGACCGGGCCCCCUCCCAAUUCGGAUUGGGCUUGGGGGGGCGCCCCCUCCCUUGCUCCUUUCCCCUCCUUUCCACUAAGGCCCAAUAAGGCCCAUAUACCUCCCGGGGGGGUCCGAUAACCUCCCGGAGCUCCGGUAUUGUCCCAAUCUCACCCGGAACCUUUCCGAUGUCCAAAUAUAGUCGUCCAGUAUAUCGAUCUUUAUGUCUCAACCAUUUCGAGACUCCUCGUCAUGUCCGUGAUACACAUCCGGGACUCCAAACAACCUUCGGUACAUCAAAACUCAUAAACUCAUAAUAUAACUGUCAUCGAAACCUUAAGCAUGCGGACCCUACAGGUUCGAGAACUAUGUAGACAUGACUGAGACACGUUUCCGGUCAAUAACCAAUAGAGGAACCUGGAUGUUCAUAUUGGCUCCUACAUAUUCUAUGAAGAUCUUUAUCGGUCAAACCGCAUAACAACAUACGUUGUUCCCUUUGUCAUCGGUAUGUUACUUGCCCGAGAUUCUAUCGUCUGUAUCUCAAUACCUAGUUCAAUCUCGUUACCGGCAAGUCUCUUUACUCGUUAUGUAAUGCAUCAUUCCGUAACUAACUCAUUAGUUACAUUGCUUGCAAGGCUUAUAGUGAUGUGCAUUACCGAGAGGGCCCAGAGAUACCUCUCCGACAAUCGGAGUGACAAAACCUAAUCUCGAAAUACGCCACUCAACAUGUACCUUUGGAGACACCUGUAGAGCUCUUUUAUAAUCACCCAGUUACGUUGUGACGUAUGGUAGCACACAAAGUGUUCCUCCGGUAAACGGGAGUUGCAUAAUCUCAUAGUUGUAGGAACAUGUAUAAGUCAUGAAGAAAGCAAUAGCAACAUACUAAACGAUCAAGUGCUAAGCUAACAGAAUGGGUCAAGCCAAUCACAUCAUUCUCGUAAUGAUGUGAUCCCGUUAAUCAAAUGACAACUCAUGUCUAUGGCUAGGAAACACAACCAUCUUUGAUUCAAUGAGCUAGUCAAGUAGAGGCAUACUAGUGACAUUAUGUUUGUCUAUGUAUUCACACAUGUAUCAAGUUUCCGGUUAAUACAAUUCUAGCAUGAAUAAUAAACAUUUAUCAUGAAAUAAGGAAAUAAAUAAUGACUUAAAUAUUGCCUCUAGGGCAUAUUUCCUUCAGUCUCCCACUUGCACUAGAGUCAAUAAUCUAGUUCACACCGCAAUGUGAUUUAACACUAAUAUUCACAUAUGUAUGUGAUUAAUACCCAUAGUUCACAUCGUCAUGUGAUCAACACCCAAAGGGUUUCUAGAGUCAAUAAUCUAGUUCACAUCCCUAUGUGAUUAACAACCAAAGAGUACUAAGGUAUGAUCAUGUUUUACUCAUGAGAGAAGUUUAGUCAACGGGUCUAUCACAUUCAGAGCCGUAUGUAUUUUGCAAAUAUUCUAUGUCUACAAUGCUCUGUACGAAGCUACUCUAGCUAAUUCCUCCCACUUUCAAUAUGUAUCCAGAUUGAGACUUAGAGUCAUCUGGAUUGGCGUAAAAGCUUGCAUCAUUGUAACCUUUUACGAUGAGCCCUUUUAUCACUUCCAUUAUCGAGAAAUAUUUCCUUAGUCCUCACUAAGGAUAUUCUUGACCGUUGUUCAGUGAUCUACUCUUAGAUCAAAAUUGUACUCCCUUGCCAAACUCAGAACAAAGUAUACAAUAGGUACAUAACAUAGCAUAAUUUAUAGAACCUAUGACUAAGGCAUAGGGAAUGACUUUUCAUUCUCUUUCUAUUUUUUGCCAUGGUCGGGUUUUGAGUCUUACUCAACUUUCACACCUUGCAAUACAGGCAAGAACUCCUUCUUUGACUGAUCCAUUUUGAACUACUUCAAAAACUUAUUAAGGUAUGCACUCAUUGAAAAAUCCUAUCAAGCGUCUUGAUCUAUCUCUAUAGAUCUUGAUGCUCAAUGUGUAAGCAGCUUCACUGAGGUGUUUCAUUGAGAAACUCUUAUUCAAGUAUCCUUUUAUGCUUUCCAAAAAAAUUCUACAUUAUUUCCGAUCAACAAUAUGUUAUUCACAUAUACUUAUCAGAAAUGUUGUAGUGCUCCCACUCACUUUCUUGUAAAUAGAGGCUUCACUGAAGUCCGUAUAAAACUAUAUGCUUUGAUCAACUUAUCAAAGCGUAUAUUCCAACUCCGAGAUGCUUGCACCAGUCCAUAGAUGGAUCGCUGGAGCUUGCACAUUUUGUUAGCACUUUUAGGAUUGACAAAACCUUCUGGUUGCAUCAUAUACAACUCUUCUUUAAGAAAACCAUUAAGGAAUGCAGUUUUGACAUCCAUUUGCCAGGUUUCAUAAAAUAUGGCAAUUGCUAACAUGAUUCGGACAGACUUAAGCAUCGCUACAGUUGAGAAAAUCUCAUUGUAGUUAACACCUUGAACUUGUCGAAAACCUUUUUGCGACAAGUCGAGCUUUGUAGAUAGUAACACUACUAUCAACGUCUAUCUUCCUCUUGAAGAUCCAUUUAUUUAUGGCUUGCCGAUCAUUGGGAAAGUCCACCAAAGUCCACACUUUGUUCUCAUACAUGGAUCCUAUCUCAGAUUUCAUGGCCUCCAGCCAUUUCGCGGAAUCUGGGCUCAUCAUCGCUUCCUCAUAGUUCGUAGGUUUAUCAUGGCCUAGUAACAUGACUUUCAGAACAGGAUUACCAUACCACUCUGGUGUGGACCGUACUCUGGAAGACCUACGAGGUUCUAUAGUAACUUGAUCUGAAGUUUCAUGAUCAUCAUCAUUAGCUUCCUCACUAAUUGGUGUAGGAAUCACUGGAACUGAUUUCAGUGAUGAACUGUUUUCCAAUUCGGGAGAAGGUACUAUUACCUUAUCAAGUUCUACUUUUCUCCCACUCACUUCUUUCGAGAGAAACUUCUUCUCUAGAAAGGGUCCAUUCUUGGCAACGAAUGUCUUGCCUUCGGAUCUGUGAUAGAAGGUGUACCCAACAGUUACUUUUGGGUAUUCUAUGAAGAUGCACUUCUCCGAUUUAGGUUUGAGCUUAUCAGGAUGAAACUUUUUCACCUAAGCAUCCCAACCUCAAACUUUAAGAAACGACAGCUUAGGUUUCUUGCUAAACCAUAGUUCAUAUGGUGUCGUCACAAUGGAUUUAGAUGGUGCCCUUUUAACGUGAAUGCAGCUAUCUCUAAUGCAUAACCCCAAAACGAUAGUGGUAAAUCAGUAAGAGACAUCAUAGAUUGCACCAUAUCCAAUAAAGUGCGGUUACGAUGUUCGGACACACCAUAAUGUUGUGGUGUUCCAGGUGGCAUGAACUGUGAAACUAUUCCACUUUUUUUUAAUUGAAGACCAAACUCAUAACUCAAAUAUUCAUCUCCACGAUCAGAUCGUAGAAACUUUAUUUUCUUGUUACGGUGAUUUUCCACUUCACUCUGAAAUUCUUUGAACCUUUCAACUAUUUCAGACUUAUGUUUCAUCAAGUAGAUAUACCCAUAUCUUCUCAAAUCAUCUGUGAAGGUCAGAAAAUAACGAUACCCGCCACGAGCCUUAAUACUCAUUGGUCUGCAUACAUCAGUAUGUAUUAUUUCCAACAAGUCAGUAGCUCGUUCCAUUGUUCUGGAGAACGGAGUUUUAGUCAUCUUGCCCAAAAGGCACGGUUCGCAAGCAUCAAAUGAUUCAUAACCAAGUGAUUCCGAAAAUCCAUCUUUAUGGAGUUUCUUCAUGCGCUUUACACCGAUAUGACCCAAACGAUAGUGCCACAAAUAAGUUGCACUAUCAUUAUUGACUUUGCAUCUUUUGGCAUCAAUAUUAUGAAUAUGUGUAUCACUACGAUCGAGAUCCAAUAAACUAUUUUCAUUGGGUGUAUGACCAUUGAAGGUUUUAUUCAUGUAAACAAAACAACAAUUAUUCUUUGACUUUAAAUGAAUAAUCGUAUUGCAAUAAACAUGAUCAAAUUAUAUUCAUGCUCAACGCAAAUGCUAAAUAACAUUUAUUUAGGUUUAACACUAAUCCCGAUAGUAUAGGGAGUGUGUGAUGAAUAUCAUAUCAAUCUUGGAACUACUUCCAACACUCAUCGUCACUUCCCCUCAACUAGUCUCAGUUUAUUAUGUAACUCCUGUUUCGAGUUACUAAUCUUAGCAACCCAACAAGUAUCAAAUACUCAGGGGCUACUAUAAACACUAGUAAGGCACACAUCAAUAACCUGUAUAUCAAAUAUGCCCUUGUUCACUUUGCCAUCCUUCUUAUCCACCAAAUAUUCAGGGCAUUUCCGCUUUCAGUGAUCAUUUACUUUGUAGUAGAAGCACUCAAAUUCAGGCUUUGGUCCAGCUUUAGGCUUCUUCACGGGAGUGACAACUUGCUUGUCAUUCUACUUGAAGUUCCCUUUCUUUCCCUUUGCCUUUUCUUGAAACUAGUGUUCUUGUCAAUCAUCAACACUUGAUGCUCUUUCUUGAUUUCUACCUUCGUCGAUUUCAACAUCACAAAGAGCUCGGGAAUUGUUUUCGUCAUCCCUUGCAUACUAUAGUUCUUCACGAAGUUCUAGCAACUUGGUGAUGGUGACUAGAGAACUUUGUCAAUCACUAUCUUAUCUAGAAGAUUAACUCCCACUUGAUUCAAGCGAUUGUAGUACCCAGACAAUCUGAGUACAUGCUCACUGCUUGAGCUAUUCUCCUCCAUCUUUUAGCUAUAGAACUUGUUGGAGACUUCAUAUCUCUUAACUCGGGUAUUUGCUUGAAAUAUUAACUUCAACUCUUGGAACAUCUCAUAUGUUCCAUGAUGUUCAAAACGUCUUUGAAGUCCCGAUUCUAAGCCGUUAAGCAUGGUGCACUAAACUAUUAAGUAGUCAUCAUAUUGAGCUAGCCGAACGUUCAUAAUGUCUGCAUCUGCUCCUGCAAUAGGUAUGUCACCUAGCGGUGCAUCAAGGACAUAACUCUUCUGUGCAGCAAUGAGGACAAUCCUCAUAUCACAGAUCCAAUCCGCAUCAUUGCUACUAACAUCUUUCAACACAGUUUUCUCUAGGAACAUAUCAAAAUAAACAUAGGGAAGCAACAACGCGAGCUAUUGAUCUACAACAUAAUUUGCAAAAUACUACCAGGACUAAGUUCAAGAUAAAUUUAAGUUCAAUUAAUCAUAUUACUAAAGAACUCCCACUUAGACAGACGUCUCUGUAGUCAUCUAAGUGAUCACGUGAUCCAAAUCAACUAAACCAUGUCCGAUCAUCACGUGAGAUGGAGUAGUUUUCAAUGGUGAACAUCACUAUGUUGAUCAUAUCUACUAUAUGAUUCACGUUCGACCUUUCGGUGUCCGUGUUCCGAGGCCAUAUCUGUAUAUGCUAGGCUCGUCAAGUUUAACCUAAGUAUUCUGCGUGUGCAACACUUUUGCACCCGUUGUAUUUGAACAUAGAGCCUAUCACACCCGAUCAUCACGUGGUGUCUCAGCAUGAAGAACUUUCACAAUGGUGCAUACUCAGGGAGAACACUUCUUGAUAAUUAGUGAGAGAUCAUCUUAUAAUGCUACCGUCAAUCAAAGCAAAAUAAGAUGCAUAAAGGAUAAACAUCACAUGCAAUCAAUAUAAGUGAUAUGAUAUGGCCAUCAUCAUCUUGUGCUUGUGAUCUCCAUCUCCGAAGCACCGUCGUGAUCACCAUCGUCACCGGCGCGACACCUUGAUCUCCAUCGUAGCAUCAUUGUCGUUUCGCCAUAUAUUGCUUCUAUGACUAUCGCUACCGCUUAGUGAUAAAGUAAAGCAAUUACAGGGCGCUUGCAUUUCAUACAAUAAAGCGACAAGCAUAUGGCUCCUGCCAGUUGCCGAUAACUCGGUUACAAAACAUGAUCAUCUCAUACAAUAAAAUAUAGCAUCAUGUCUUGACCAUAUCACAUCACAACAUGCCCUGAAAAAACAAGUUAGACGUCCUCUACUUUGUUGUUGCAAAUUUUACGUGGCUGCUACGGGCUGAGCAAGAACUGUUCUUACCUACGCAUCAAAACCACAACUAUAGUUUGUCAAGUUAGUGUUGUUUUAACCUACGCAAGGACCGGGCGUAGCCACACUCGGUUCAACUAAAGUUGGAGAAACUGACACCCGCCAGCCACCUGUGUGCAAAGCACGUCGAGAGAACCAGUCUCGCGUAAGUGUACGCGUAAUGUCGCUCCGGGCCACUUCAUCCAACAAUACCGCCGAACCAAAGUAUGACAUGCUGGUAAGCAGUAUGACUUGUAUCGCCCACAACUCACUUGUGUUCUACUCGUGCAUAUAACAUCUACGCAUAAAACCAGGCUCUGAUGCCACUGUUGGGGAACGUAGUAAUUUCAAAAAAUAUCCUACGCACAUGCAAGAUCAUGGUGAUGCAUAGCAACGAGAGGGAAGAGUGUUGUCCACGUACCCUCGUAGACCGAAAGCGGAAGCGUUAGAACAAUGCGGUUGAUGUAGUCGUACGUCUUCACAGCCCGACCGAUCAAGCACCGAAACUACUGCACCUCCGAGUUCAAGCACACGUUCAGCUCGAUGACGUCCCUCGAACUCCGAUCCAGCCGAGUGUCAAGGGAGAGUUCCGCCAGCACGACGGCGUGGUGAAGAUCUUGAUGUUCUACCCUCGCAGGGCUUCGCUUAAGCACCGCUACAAUAUUAUCGAGGAGGACUAUGGUGGAGGGGGGCACCGCACACGGCUAAGAGAUCAAGAGAUCAAUUGUUGUAUCUAUGGGGUGCCCCCCUCCCCCGUAUAUAAAGGAGUGGAGGAGGGGGCCGGCCAAGGGGGGUGGCGCACCCUAGGGGGAGUCCAACUCCCACCGGGAGUAGGACUUCCCCCUUUCCUAUUAGGAGAGGGAGAGGGAAGGAAGAGGAAGGAGGGAGGAAGGAAAGGGGGGCCGGCCCCCUCCCAAUUCAGAUUGGGCUUGGGGGGGGUGCCCCCUCCCUUGCUCCUUUCCCCUCCUUUCCACUAAGGCCCAAUAAGGCCCAUAUACUUCCCGGGGGGUUCCGAUAACCUCCCGGAGCUCCGGUAUUGUCCCAAUCUCACCCGGAACCUUUCCGGUGUCCAAAUAUAGUCGUCCAAUAUAUUGAUCUUUAUGUCUCGACCAUUUCAAGACUCCUCGUGAUGUCUGUGAUCACAUCCGGGACUCCGAACAACCUUCGGUACAUCAAAACUCAUAAACUCAUAAUAUAACUGUCAUCGAAACCUUAAGCGUGCGGACCCUACGGGUUCGAGAACUAUGUAGACAUGACCGAGACACGUUUCUGGUCAAUAACCAAUAGCGGAACCUGGAUGUUCAUAUUGGCUCCUACAUAUUCUAUGAAGAUCUUUAUCGGUCAAACUUCAUAACAACAUACGUUGUUCCCUUUGUCAUCGGUAUGUUACUUGCCCGAGAUUCGAUCGUCGGUAUCUCAAUACCUAGUUCAAUCUCAUUACCGGCAAGUCUCUUUACUCGUUAUGUAAUGCAUCAUUCUGUAACUAACUCAUUAGUUACAUUGCUUGCAAGGCUUAUAGCGAUGUGCAUUACCGAGAGGGCCCAGAGAUACUUCUCUGACAAUUGGAGUGCCAAAACGUAAUCUCGAAAUACGCCAACUCAACAUGUACCUUUGGAGACACAUGUAGAGCUCCUUUAUAAUCACCAAGUUACGUUGUGACGUUUGGUAGCACAGAAAGUGUUCCUCCGGUAAACGGGAGUUGCAUAAUCUCAUAGUUGUAGGAACAUGUAUAAGUCAUGAAGAAAGCAAUAGCAACAUACUAAACGAUCAAGUGCUAAGCUAAUAGAAUGGGUCAAGUCAAUCACAUCAUUCUCCUAAUGAUGUGAUCCCAUUAAUCAAAUGACAACUCAUGUCUAUGGCUAGGAAACACAACCAUCUUUGAUUCAAUGAGCUAGUCAAGUAGAGGCAUACUAGUGACAUUAUGUUUGUCUAUGUAUUCACACAUGUAUCAAGUUUCCGGUUAAUACAAUUCUAGCGUGAAUAAUAAACAUUUAUCAUGAAAUAAGGAAAUAAAUAAUAACUUUAUUAUUGCCUCUAGGGCAUAUUUCCUUCAAAAAUGCCCCCCAGGAAACCACUAGGGCCACCGUAAUCUCCUCAUGCCCUUGCACAAUGCAAGAUGCCAUGAUUCCACUAAGGGACCCUUGAGGGCAGUUAUCGAACCCGUACAAAUGGCAACCCUAGGGGGAGGUCACCGAACCCGUACACUUUGGCAACCCUUGGGGCGGUCACUGGAACCCGUACAAAUUCCUCGGUGCAAUCUCCACAACCUAAUUGGAGACCCCGACGCUUGCCCGGAGCUUUACACCACAAUGAUUGAGCUCCGAGACACCACAAACCAUCUAGGACGCCCAAGCACCCAAGAGGAACAAGCUCUAGGGUACCAAGCACCCAAGAGUAAUAAGCUUCUCAACUUUUCACUUCCACGUAUCAACAUGGAGAACUCAAAUUGAUGCAACUAGUGCAAAGGCAAGGGCACACGAAGUGCCCAAGUCCCUCACUCUCAAAUCCCAUCAAAGCAACAAAAGCUAUGAAGGAAAAUGGGAGGAAGAACAAGAAGGAGAACACCAAGAACUCCAAGAUCUGGAUCCAAGGGGUUCCCCUCACAUAGAGGAGAAAGUGAUUGAGGAAAUGUGGAUCUAGAUCUCCUCUCUCUCUUUCCCCCCAGAAAAUAGCAAGAAUCCAUUGAUUAAUUGAGAGAUAGCCAGCUCGAAGAAGUUCAACAAUGGGGGAAGAACACGAGCUCAAAGGAUAAGAUGCAAUGGGGAAGAAGACCCCCUUUUAUAGGCCUCUCCAAAUCCAACUGUUAUGCACACAGCCCAUGCACAAGCGGUAGUACCGCUCGGGCGAGCGGUACUUCCACUGGCAUGGUAGUUUCAUCCAUAAUGAGCAACUAAGAAACUCAAGGAGGCGGUAGUGCUACCGAAGCGGUACUACCGCUCCCAUACUACCGCUAGGCGUUGCGUGUAUAGGUGAAACACCGAUAGUAUAGUAGAGCAGCGCGGUACUACCACCCACUACUGCCGCUCUACUUCCGCACAGAGGAAAAUGUAUCCAGAGGCUAAAAUAUAAUCGGAAGUAGCAGCGGUAGUGAAGGGACCGUGGUACCGCUUAUAAGCGGUACUACCGCCCACUAUUGCUGCUCUACUUCCGCUUGAAGGAAUACAAAGAGCAAAACAUAAGCGGUACUCCAUGCGGUAGCUCAUAGUGUAAGUACCGCAUAAGCGGUACUACCGUGGAGCUGGCCGGAACUACCGCUUGGGAGCUAAAAACUGCCCAAGCACAAAAGGAUGCAAGCGAGACCGAAACUGCCAUAACUUCUGCAAAUGAACUCUGAAUUGAGCAAACUCAAGCUUGUUGGAUAGAUGACGACAAAUAGUAAGAAGUGGCAGGGCAAGUAUGCCUAUUAUAUAUAGGAAUGAAACCUCUAUCAGUGAAGAACCAUCAUAUACUCCCACAUCAAAAACAUCAUAGAGGAUGCACAUGAACUCUGUUUCGAAGAACUCGAGCUUGUCAUGAAGAUGACCAUAAGCUAUAAAACUCACAAAGAGAAACACCAAAUAAGAACCAAGAAAGAUGAUGCAAGGAUGCAAUGGUUUGAGCUCUCUACGAACGAUAUGAUCAAGCUACUAACUUGAGAGCCCCCCCUUGAUAGUAUGACAAUCGAUCAUAUAACCCGGUCUCCCAACUACCACCAUGAGACCGGUAAAAUAGAAAACCUAUCAAGGGCAAACCUUUGCCUUGCACAUAGUCCACUUGAGAUAGAUGAUGACGAUCUUGACUUCCACAAGUUGGACCAUGAUAACCCACAAGUAUAGGGGAUUACAGUAGUUUUCGAGGGUAGAGUCACUACUAGGAAAAGGCCUGCUAGUGGCGCACCUGUUUUGGCUACUAAUGGCGCACUACAGGUUCGCCAGUAGCAUCACGCCAUUAGUAAUUAAUACUAAUGGCGCACCCCUGGUGCGCCAUUAGUAUACCAGAUACUAAUGGCGCACCAGAGAGUGUGCCAUUAAUAUAUCACACGGUGCGCCAUUAGUAUGCCUCCCAGGGGGCCAUAUUUACCCAUGUGCUCUGGCUUACUAAUGGCGCACUUGUAGAUGAUGUGCCACUAGUGUGCUUGUUGCAGUGCGCCACUAAAGUGCAGAGUGGUGUGCCACUAGUAUGAAUAUUAGGGAUUUUUUUUCUUUUCUGAUAUUUGCACAUGUUACAAAACAUAUUACUGCACAGAAUAUAGACAACACAACAUAUAAACAGCAGAUUUAUCGAAUACAAUAGAAGAUUAGUCUCCAAAUACAAUUCAUCAUAUUAGUCUCCGAAUUUAAAAUACCAAACAAAGUUAGAACAUUACAAGUCUCGAGACUGCGAGUAGCGGGUUUGUCUUCACAUUACAAGUCGAUAUCGAUCAUCUAAACUACCAUCACAUAGAAGAGAGCUGCGGUCAUCACGAUGAGCAUCAUCACGAUGAAACUGGUCUUCAACCGGUUCCUCCAACGCUCCCUCCUCUCUCCCGCUAGAUAGCGUGUGUAUCUAACUUCCACCUCCGCCCUAGUGGUGUACCCUUUGUAACUGUUAUCGCUGAAACAGUGAACCUGUCUCCAACACUCCUCCCAGUCGUCGUAGACUCCGGGAACCUUACCCUUGUACACAACAUACGAUGACAUAUCUAUGCACUAGCUAAACAAAAUGUUAGUAGCAAUUCACAGACAAUACAUAAGCAAUAUAUAAGUAUGCAACAAAAGGAUCGGAAGAGAAAAGCAACACAUUAAUAGCACGAUUCAUGGUCCUACUAAUAAAUAGCAUCGAUUACAUAUAAGUUGAACGACUAUCCAAACCAAAGAGACAUACAAGUUCAUUAAAGUUUAAUAUUACAACAUGAGCCAAUCGACAUUUCAGAACUACAUAGCAUCACUACUUUCGACUCGACUCAGGGACCGGAGGGUGGAUGAAGCCGCCGUCUUUCGUGAUGGUCAUGAAAUUGCGGGCGUUGUCAGCCUGCAUUUGUAGCAUUGUUUCUAUCUCACUGUUGGACAGUUGAUAUCUGAGGUAGAACUGCCCCGAGGUACGAAGGACAUCUUGAUGGAUGAUUUUCGCAAACUCCGACUGGAUGCGAUAGAAUUCUUGUCUGAUGUCUGCGUCCUGGAUUGCCGACAAGCGUGUGGCCCCGUACGAUCGCCCACAUGUGAUGGAGGGCAUAGUAGGCAUCCUUUUGACUUCCAGGCGGCUGAUUGACGUAGAGGAACAUCGUAUUGUGGGUGAACAUGUGCUUGCCGUACCUACGAAUUGUCCUGGUGAAGGUGCCUCCAGAUCUGGCGUAGCCGGGAAGAACAUCAUCAAGAACUUUCUUGAUAUUUGUGUAGUCUUUCUUCGACUGACGGUCUGAGUCGAAAUACAUGGCCAUGGAAUAUUUCAGGCUUAAGAGGAUGAGUGUGCAACAUGUGUCACUGCACAAAACACGGAAUGUUAGAAAAAAAAGAACGAUCAAAAUCUAAGAAAUCAUAUGUUACGGGGCGGUGAGGGGAUGACUUACUCGGGAAAGUAAGGCACGAGGAAGUUAUCCUUAUCUGGGUUUGCCAGAAUGACGCCUUCGAGGUGUGAACUCGCGACUUGCCGGUCCCCAGCGCUGCCCAAGAUCUUGGCACGCAUGUAGAAGGGGUCGACUAUCACGAUGUCCGGGGUCUUGUAUCUAAUAAUCCGCAUCUCCAUACUCAGCGAAAAUAGCCGAAUGAAGGUGUAGUGCAGCGGAUGAAGGUUAAACAUAGUGAAGAUGUCAUCAAACCACAGGACGAUUGUACCCCCGAUGGCGCUAUCCACAAAGCCCUUGCCCUCUGGCACCUUGGCCACAAAAAUCGGGUAUGCCACAUCAUUCUCGAAAAGACGCUGCUUCUCCAAAGAAAGAACACUGUCAUGCAGACUCUGCAUAGCACCGGUUGCAGCAUUGAGCAGAUUAGUCGGUAGCAUCGGCCUACCCGCCACAUGCACCCUCCUCGAGAUAUCCUUAGGUGAAGGUGGCCCGUCCUGAGAACGGAUCGUACUCGGUGCCGGCUGGCUCGCACCGCCCUUGUUAUUCUUUUGUUUCCGUCCCAUCUUCUUCUGAUGUAAUGGGAUCGAGUUCUGCUCAGAGACCGCCUUCUUGAGUGUGUUGGGGCUGAUAAUAUUUCGCACCUCAACUAUCUGAGGCUCGGUGAAGGCGGCAGCUGGAGGUGUCUCCUGAGAACUAAACGCCAGAUGACGCCUGUUGCAAUUGGGUUUCUCCGUGGUACCAGCUAGACUGCGGUCGUCUUUUGCAGGGUUGGGUUCUUGAGAAGGAGGCCCCAAGAAUUCGUCACUAUACCCAUGUUCGGCAAAGUACUUAUCAACGUUGGUAAAUGUAUCGUCGUUGUCAUCGUCGUCGUUUGGAUCCUGUGCCAUAUGCAUGUCCGGCAUGUCCAGUAGCGUUGCGGCGGUCUUGCCAUGGCUUGGCACCGGCACGACUAGCGGUGUUGUCCGUGGGGUGCUGUCCCCCGCCCCCAAACGAAUUUGGCUCUUCAGCCAAAGCAGGGGCCAGCUUACGCAGGCGCUGAGGGUCAUCAAAUCAUCUUCGUCGGCCCCAGUGGGUCGAAUCAGAGGUAAAAACUCGUCGUAGCCUGGCAGCACCCGAACCAGUUCAACCAUAUACACGGUGGGUGGCAUCGGAUUACCGUGGAACACGGGGUUGCCCGGUUGAACGAUUCUGCCCUUGGCAACAUCGAUCAACUCGCCGCCCACGAAGUGCAGGAGAGUGCAUGGAAUGUCGGCGGCACCCUGUGAAAACAUGUAGGGCGUCAGGGAUGCCCAGUCAAAGGCAAGGAGAUGAAGUCAUCGGCCGAGAGGCUUAGUUACCGUGAUGGCGUCGAUCUCGGCUAAUGUCGAGGCACCGCCAAUGGCGGGCAUGCAACUGACGGAGGGGCCGCUUGCUGCCGAGGUGCCGGCCGGCGUACACCCGGGUGCAUUAAGCUCCAAUGCCCGUGCCGGCGCCGGAGACACCAAUACCGCCUCCGCCAGAGACACCAAUGGCGCCACCUGCGCGUUGUGCGCGUUGCUGGCCGUGAAGCUGGGAACCGGGGGCGGCCCCUGUUGGCCGCCCACAAUCCACGCCUGCAGCCCCUCAAUCAAGGUAGGCACAAUGGCGGUGAGCGUCGUUCCCAGUUGGUGUUGCACUAGCUCUUGGACCAUCUCCGGAAUCCGCACCACUUGUGCCUUGAGUUCUUGAACCUUGCGCGACUGGCUUUCUGAGCUGGUCUUUCUCUCCUUUCGCCCACCUGCGUUAUAGUAUGACGACCAUUUUGUGGACAAGCCUUUGUCGGCCACACGACCAGCUGAUGACGGCUUACUGAACUUAUCCUUGUUUUUCAUUAUGUUGAACGCCCUAUUUAAAGUGUUGUCCCAAGGGGAGCUCUGAGACGACCCCGCGCUACUGCUUUCAGUCUCCCGCGGAAGGAAUGUGAACCAUUUAGAAAUUUGGCUUCAUUAAUUAGAAUGCAACCAUAUGGAGCUAAUUACGCGGGGGUGUAUUCCUUACCAGAACACGCUCAAGCGCCUUGGUCUUCGCAUCCGUGGUAAGCUCCUUUGUUACUGGGUCCUCCUUGUACCGGUCCCUGACAUAGUUCCUGGUCUGCUUGUCACAGUAUUUCUCGAAGCGGGGCGGUAGGCCUUGCUCGGCACGCUCCGCAUCCUCCUUGUCCCAUAUAAGUUCCGCCACUCUGUAACCGCCGGGACCGAGUUGGUGGACCCCUAAAUUCAAGUCCCGCAUUUCUUUCCUCCACUGACUUGAUUCCACGGUCGUGCUUCUCUCACACUUGAUCUUGAACUCCUUGUAGUCAUCUUCGUUGAUCGAAGGAUUUUUCGCCUUGAUCUUCUCAUAACUAUCACCUUUGUCAAUCAUUCUCUUCACCGCGCUUCUCCAAGUAGACAGGGCCGUGCUCAUCUUCAUGAGGGCGGCACUGUUCACUUUAUUCCCUGAGAGGCGUUUGUUUGCAAAAUCAGCGGGGAACUUGUAUCGUUCGUGUAGCUUCAUGAAGAGGAGGCUGCGCAAAUUCCCUCGGUCAGGAUGCCUUAGGUUCUCGGUGUUGAUCGAGACGGUGCUCCGAAGAAUGCACCCGAGCUGAACCGAGUACCCCUUGACUAAUUCUUUGGGCACCGUUGGAUGCCCGUCGGAGGACACUUCAGUAAAUUCCUCCUUGACGGUGCCGAGCAUGUUCGGGCGCCGGUCCUUCUGUUGCCUCUUUGGUUGGCUGCCAUCUGUGUGUGCGCUGCCAUCAUCAGUGGUGGCAUCCUCGGCGGCACCAUCAGUGGUGUCAUCCCCGACGCCACUAGGGGUUGUGUAGUCAGGAUCGGUGUCUUCCGCGGCAUCCUCAUAGCGGUGAGGUUCUUCCUCCAUCUCUUGGGACAGCUCACAGAAUUGCUUGCCCGAACCGCCGGCCUCAUCGUUGUGGGCCAUGUUUUGCUCUAAAUAGGAAAGAAGUUUGGUCAAAAAGUUGGUUAUUGUCAAGGAACAAGAUCAUGGUCUCAUCAUUUAGGAUUUAUCGACAUCGAGGCAUCCUAAAAGCUAAGCUUUUAUCGUUUAGGGUUUGUCGACGCCGUGGCACCCUAAAAGCCUAAGCUUUCAUCAUUUAAGUUUUUAUCGACACCGAGGCACCCUAAAAGCCAAGGUUUUAUAAUUUAGGGUUUGUCGACGCUGAGGCACCCUAAAUGCUAAGUUAAGUUUUCAUCAUUUAGGGUUUAUCGAUGCCGAGGCACCCUAGGUUGACUGAUAUAUAUGGGUAUCUUCUAAUAAUAUACCCUAUCAAGAAAAGGGAAGGAUAAUUCUAAGUUGGGCCAAAUCACUUGGCUCUAUUACCACCUAUGGUUUAAUGCAGCAAGAAUAAAGGGGCAGUUGAUCCUACUUAAUUAAGUACUAAGAUACCCCGACCCAUGCAUUAGUCGCAAGUACCCCAUAUGUCCUAUUUUUAGCAAAGUCAUGCUAAAAUUCACGGAAAAUUUCAGCAUGACCUUUGCUGAAAAUAGGACAUAUGGAGUACCCAAAUUUGCCGGAACGGAAGUUAAUCGACAUUCCGGCAAACUCAAGGGCCUCUCAGGGUACCUGCAAAAUCAUUAUCCCCGCGUAAUGAAGUAGCCAAUGGGUCAUUUCAAAAUAUCACAAGUAGCAUCAUCACAAGUACAACAUCAUCACAAGUACAGCAGCAGUAGCAGUGAAUACAGGCAUAACAGCAGCAGCAACAGGUUUAUUCUUCUUCUUCAUAAACACUAGUUGUCUAAUUGAGCAAUACAGCGACAGUGUGAACAAAUAAAAACACAAACUACACCUACAUAUUUGGGUACCUCUAUGGUAGUAACAUGCCAUGCUCUGCCUAGAGCUACUGCAGCAAUCAUUGUUAUACAUUUCUCUGAAUAGUAUAUAUGGCUUGAAAUGGCAGAACAGGUUACAGUAAUUAGAUGAAUGAAAUGCAUAAGUGUCGAAUCAAAACAAUAUAAAAAAUACCAUGUUCCCUAUGCUGUUUUGAUACACGAUAUGGGUGAAGUGACAUGACACUUCCAAAAACAAGGAUACAACAAUCACUGGUCCCAAAUGAUAAUACAAGGUGGUGUAGAUCUCUAAGGAGCGGCAUUAAAAGGGAAGGGCAUGCGGCAAGAUGCCAUCAAGCUCCCAGCAACAAUGGUCGGGGAGCAUGUCCACAUUAUGCAUGAGAGGAAGGCUUGUAUACAUUAUAAAGUAUGUUUUAAAUAUUUAAACAUCGACAUGAUUCAGAUACUGAGAAAAAUAGAAUGGAAUCAUUGUUAUAGGAUGCAACAGCUAUGACAACUCACUGAAGUAUCAGGGAAAUCUUUACCUAGCAACACAAGUUAAUAGGCUGAUAUUUUCUCCAUAUUUUUAUUGAAAAGGAAGUUCAAACCUCCUGGCAGUCACAAGUGACAGGAGCUGUGCCUACCACUAGGAUGACCACUUUAAUUUUUUUGCUUCUUUUUUUGAGAUAGAAGCACUUUCAGUCUCAGAAACAAAGAUCACACAGCUUUAUAAAAUCAACUUUACAGGAAGUAUUCGUGUAAGGAAACAUUAAUAAGUAUCUAAGUGUUUUUAGUUCAUUUUAUACAAAAGACAAACAACAACCCUUUUCUUUUGCAUCGGAAGAAAAUUCUAGUACUAUGUGAUAAGCUUUAGAAAAUGGAGUACUUACAGCAACUAUGCAGGCAAUCAAUCCAGGCUUCUCCCGGUGAUCCAAAGAAACAAAGAAUAGAAGAAAAGCACCAAUAUACCAGAGAAUUGCAGCCAAGAAGAACCCUAGUAAGAACCUUCAAAACAAAACCAACCUAAAGUCUUUAAUAUGGAUUGAUUGUGCUUUCAUUUUAAAUUUGCAGGUAAGAACAAUGAACUUAUAGAAACUCCUUAAUAUGAAUAUUAUACCGAUGAUAAAAGAUGUCAGAUUACUAGUAGAUAGCAAAGCAGUAGACAACACACUCAGAAGUAACCAUGCCAGUUUAGGAUAAUCCUCUGCUGAUGCAUCAACUUAUAUCCUAAUCCAAUUCCAGUACCAUUUGAUCGCACCAUAUAUUAUAAAUAUGGCCAUGGGCCCUUACCAACCUGACCAAUACGAGUACUAGCACCUCACAAAUUCUCACUAGCAAGCAUAUCUUCCAAAUGCUGCUCGCCGAACUUGUUAAUGAAACAGUUACUCAUGCAAUCCCCCAUUCACAUACCAAGUACUCAUACAGUCGUACUGAACCAAGUGCUCAUGUUGUUACCUUCUUCAAGAGCUUCCUAAUUUUGCCACACCGAUCACAUUGGAGACAAACACCACCAAAAUGAAGGACACUUACAAAGCCCAGCCAACGCCGACGCCAUAGAACGGCAGUCGCGGCUCCCGGACUGGGAGGCCCUCCACCAAGACCUGCUGUUGGAUAGUGCACGGGAAAGCAACAACGCCCUGAGCAGGAAAGUGCUGCUGGAUAGUGCAGAGGCAGGGAAGUGUUAGUACCUGUAGAGAAACCUAGGGGGAAGGAGGGGAGGAGAGAGGAGGAAUCACCUAGAGGAGAACGGCAGGCAGCUGUAGGAGGACGCUGGCGUCGAGGAGGCUGCGGGCGGUGGCGCGUCGAGGAGGCGGCACGUUCUUGCUUCCCCAAGGACCGAGACGGCGAGGCGGGCCGGUGGCAGCGUUGGAACCCUAGCGUUGUUCGGUCGGAGCACCUCGUCGGAGAGGGCGCGACGGUCAUCAGAGCGAGCGAGAGGGUCGUCAGAGCGGGUGUGGAGCGGGCGCAGGGAUCAUCGGAGCGGGUGUGGCGAGGGAGGGAAGGGGGAUCUGGCGAGGGAGGGACGAAGGGGGAUCGGGCGAAGGGGGGAUUAGCUAGAGGGGGGAAGGUUAGUAAUGGCGCACCCCCUAGCGGUGCGCCAUUAGUAAUCUUUUUUUGGAUAGCGAUGUCGCACCUCCUGGCAGUGCACCAUUAGUAAUCUUUUUUUGGAUAGNNNNNNNNNNNNNNNNNNNNNNNNNNNNNNNNNNNNNNNNNNNNNNNNNNNNNNNNNNNNNNNNNNNNNNNNNNNNNNNNNNNNNNNNNNNNNNNNNNNNNNNNNNNNNNNNNNNNNNNNNNNNNNNNNNNNNNNNNNNNNNNNNNNNNNNNNNNNNNNNNNNNNNNNNNNNNNNNNNNNNNNNNNNNNNNNNNNNNNNNNNNNNNNNNNNNNNNNNNNNNNNNNNNNNNNNNNNNNNNNNNNNNNNNNNNNNNNNNNNNNNNNNNNNNNNNNNNNNNNNNNNNNNNNNNNNNNNNNNNNNNNNNNNNNNNNNNNNNNNNNNNNNNNNNNNNNNNNNNNNNNNNNNNNNNNNNNNNNNNNNNNNNNNNNNNNNNNNNNNNNNNNNNNNNNNNNNNNNNNNNNNNNNNNNNNNNNNNNNNNNNNNNNNNNNNNNNNNNNNNNNNNNNNNGCGGUGGAGCGGGGAAGGGUGCGGGGGGUCGGCAGCGGCGGUGGAGCGGGGGAGGGUGCGGGGGGUCGGCGGCGGCGAGGAGGAUCUGAUGAGGGGGGGUAGCGAUCGAGAUGGAGGGGGAUCUGGCACGGGGGGUGCGCCAUAAGUAACUUUUUUAUUAUUACUUUUAGUUGCGUCUAAUAUUUUUUUAGAAAAUGACGAUCAAAUUUGAAAAAAAUUAUGAAUGUGAAAAAAUAUGAUCAAAUUUGUUAUUUGAAAAUAUUUAUGAAUAUAAAAAAAUAUCAUCAAAUUUGUUAUUUGAAAAAAUCAUCAAAUUUGUUAUUUAAAAAUAUCAUCAAUAUUUUUUUUGGAUUUUUAGUUGCAUUCAUUUGUGAAUUGGUAAAACAUUUAUGAAUAUGAAAAAAUAUCAUCAAAUUUGAAAAAAUAUUCAUGAAUUCAAAAAGUGCCCAUGAAAUUUAAAAAUAUUCAUGAGUUCAAAAAAUAUUAACAAAUUCAAUACUUUUUGUGAGUUAGAAAUUCAAUACCAUAAUAAACAUAAAUAAAUAUUCAUGAGGACACUAGAACGGAAGAAAUAUCAUUUCAAUAUCUCGAAAUACAAUCGAGAAAUGAAGGCUACAAUUUACAUACAAUCGAUCUUAGCUAGCUAUAUGUUCACAAUCUACUUUCCCUUAUUUUUCGCAAAUGGAGUUCUUCUCUUGAACGGACGCCCUUUAGGUAAGGUGGUCCUGCUUCUUCUUGUGGUGUAUGCUGGUACUUCAUCAUCGUCGUCAUGUUCCAUCUUCGGGUGGCCGUACUUGUCGAAGUCUUGCUCAUUGGCGACUCCAUCCAUUUCGAUGAUCUUCCUUUUGCCUCUCCUCACGACGACACGACUGGGCUUUGACGGGUAGGUAAUGAAGAAGCAUUGGUCCACUUGGGAAGCUAGUACCCGUGGCUCAUUUUUCGCGGUGACGUUUGCGCCCGCGGUCUUGGAUUUGGCUUCGGGUAUAACCAUGGUGGUGAAAUACCGAUCUUCUUUUAGGAAGCUCUUGGCCCAUCUGACAGGGAACAUCAGGACCUUCUCUCCAGCGUAGCUCAGCUCCCAGAUCUCCUCGAUCCUUCCGUAGUAUCUGUCCUUGUCGUUACCGGUGUAGGAUUCCAUUGUUACCCCGGAGUUCUGAUAACCAUCGCUCUUCAUGUCCUUUCCCUCGGUGUAGAAUGUGUAGCCAUUGAUAUCGUACGCCUCAUACGUCAUCAGAUUGUGCUCGGCGCCCUAUGACAAGGUGAAUAUGAGUUGUUCUUCCGCGGAAGAAUCCUCAUGUAAAGGGUACGACAGAAGCUUCUGCUUGAACCAACGCGUGAAACAUGAGUUGUGCUCUUUGAUUAUAUCUCCGUUCAUCCUCUGUUGGCCUCAGUCAUUGUACGUCUUCUCAAUAAAGGUUUUGUGCUCUACCACCCAAGGAUCGACCAUGUCUAUGUGUUGUAGCGCGACUAGGUUUGCUCUUUCAAAGUCGGCGAGUCGACCCUCGAAGUCGAGAUGCAUUUCACGGCGACCAUCACGGUGACCCCAUCCAGCGAGCCUGCUGAGGUGCCUGUUGAUGGGAAGACCAACGGUGUUCUCGAUGCCUAGAUAAUUCGUGCAGUAGGAGAUGCACUCUUCGGUCAGAAAGCCCCUGGCCAUGCUUCCCUCUGGACGUGACAUGUUGCGAACGUAUCCUUUGAUGACACCAUUCAUCCUUUCGAACAACAUCAUGCUGUGCAGGAACGUCGGCCCGAGUUGGAUGAUAUCCUCCAUGAUAUGGACCAGCAGAUGCACCAUAACGUCGAAGAAUGCGGGCGGGAAGUACAUCUCAAGCUCGCAUAGUAUCACCAUGAUCUCUUCAUGUAGCCUUCUGAGUUGCCUCACGCCAACCGACUACUGAGAGAUGACGUCGAAAAAGUUGCAUAGGACAAAUAGCGUUUCACGGACGUGCGCGUCCAUGAUCCCACGGAUUGCAACUGGAAGUAUCUGCAUCAUCAGCACGUUACAGUCGUGAGACUUCAUCCUGCUGAACUUCUACUUCGCUGAGUCUAGGUAUCUGCUUAUCUUCCCCGCGUAACCGUAAGGAAGUUUUACUCCUACGAGGCAGGUGAAAAACUGAUUGAUCUCCUCCUGACUUAGAGUGAAGCAUGCGGGAGGGAAGUCAUUUCCGGUCUUCUUGGCCUUUUUGCCUUUGCGACGACUUUCCGUGUCCUGCUUCGCCUCAUCAUCAUCAUCAUUAGCGUGAAGCUCCUCCCUGAUGCCCAUUGAUUUCAAGUCUGCCCUUGCUUUCGGCCCAUCUUUGGUCCUCUCUGGCAUGAGCAGGGUACCAAGCAGACUCUUACACACGUUCUUCGUGAUAUGCAUGACAUCAAGGCUGUGAGGCACACGGUGGAUCUUCCAGUACAGCAAGUCCCAGAAAACAGACCUCGUUUUCCAUACCUUCAGCAGCGGCUCUGGUGCCUUUCGCUUCUUUCCCAGCUCUGGCGCCUUUUGCUUCUUUCCCAGCAGUGGGCAAUCUUUCCAAUUUUUCAAUAGCUCGUCUAUUUCCUUGCCACUCCUCGUACGCGGGCGUCUUCGGGGUUCGGUUUCACCAUCGAACAUAUCCUUGCGUUUCCUCCAUGAGUCAUCAUCGCAAAGCCACCUUCGAUGUCCCAUGAACACGGUUUUUGAAGACCCGGGAUUUCUAUCUAGCUGGCGAUACGUUGUGUCAUCCAUGCACCUGACGCAUCCAGAAAAUCCGUGGACCACCUUCCCCGCGACAUAUCCGUAACCGAGAUAGUCCUGCACCGUCGUGAGCAGUGCGACUCUCAUAGGGAAAUAUUCUUUCUCUGCGGCGUCCCACAUAUUGGCUGGCGUUUUCCAUAGCGUGUCUAGCUCCUCUUUCAGCAGCCCCAUAUACAGAUUGAUGCCAUUCCCUGGUUGUUUCGGCCCUUCAAUUAGCAUACUCAUGUGAAUGUACUUCCUCUUCAUGCACAACCAGGGGGGAAGGUUGUAUAUCCACACAAACACAGGCCAGGUGCUAUGUGUGCUUCUCUGGCUGCCAAACGGAUUGACUCCAUCGGUGAUCGCGCCCAGUAUGAUGUUCCUUGGAUCGUUCCCAAAUUCUGGGUGUUCGAAGUUCAACGCUUGCCGCUGGCUCGCAUCCUUAGGGUGACUCAGCAUCUUGUCUUUUUUAUUUAUCUCUGGAUCAUUUGCGUCAUCUUCUCACUUCUUCUCCUCCCUAUCCGCGUGCCAACGCAGGAGCUUUGCUACCUUAGGGUCCGCGAAAUACCGCUGCAGACGAGGAGUGAUCGGAAAGUACCACACCACUUUUCAAGGAGCUUUCUUCCUCUUCUUGUAUCGAGUGACGCCGCACACCGGUCAUAUGGUAGACUCUGCGUGCUCAUCCCGAUAAAUGAUGCAAUUGUUCAUGCACACAUGGUAUUUCACGUGUGGUAAAUCCAGAGGACACACGAUUUUCUUCGCCUCCUCGAAACUGGUCGGGCACUUGUUCCCCUUGGGAAGACGUUCGUGCCAGAAUGACAUGUUCUCGUUGAAGCAUGCGUCGGUCAUUUUGUGUUUUACCUUCAUCUCCAGAGCCAUGAGCAUUACUUUCAGGCAGGUAUCCUCGGGCCUGCAUCCUUCAUCCAAUGGAGUAACCACGUCUAUCUCCAGUUGAUCCAUCUUGGCUUUCUCUCGGGCGGCAGCUCUUGCGUUAUCGGUCUACUUGAGAAGCAGCUCUUGAAUAUGAGGGUCCUGCACCCAGCCCAUCGAUGGGCCAUCGUCGUCUGCUCCGACAUCUUCAUCUUCAUGAUCAUGCCCUUUGUCUACUCUAGCAUCUUCCUCAUCAUCAUGUACGGCAUCUUCUACAUGAUGACUGUGUACUGCAUCUACUUCAUGAUCAUGUCCUGGAGAUUCUUCGUCUUCUCGCCCGCCCUCGUCGCAGUUGUCUUGCUGCCCUUCCUCAUUUCUUGCCCGGCCCCCAUGGACGACUUCAUAAUCAUCUUCAUCACCUUGCCACCGAUAGCCAUCCAUGAAACCACGCAAGAGCAGGUGGUCCCACACCUGUACAGAAUCCGGGUCCAUAAGGCUCCUUAGCUUGCAUCUUCGACACGGACAUCUUAUCUCCGUCUCGUUCUUUUGAAGCAUCUCGGUCUUCGUGGAGCUCAAAAACCUAUUCACGAUGCCUUCGGUCAUCGUGUGGACCAUGGUCGCCUGCGGGGUAGAGCAAAACGAUAUUUUAGAACCAAGAAAUUUUUUGGCAUGACUUUGCCUAAAAAUAGGACCAAAAAGAAUGCAUAGUGCCAAAUUCUCGCCGAAACGGAAAUGAACAUUCCGGCAAAAUAUUGGCAACUAUCGCAUUUCAAAUACUGGUACCUGCAAACACAAACAUAUAUGCAACACCACAAAUAUAUGCAACACCACAAAUAUAUGCAACACCACAAACAUACAUAGAUCUAGCUAGGCCAUAAAAAGUGCAUGUGCACGUUGUUGGAGGGAGGAAAAAAAGUAGAUCUACAACAUAAAGAAAGCUUUCCCCUUACUUACCUAUCAAAAAAAGGUAAUUUAACCACUUAAUUUGGAUGAAUCUAUGGUGCAAAUGAGGUGAGGAGGAGGAGGCAGCCGAGACAAGCUUGGAGGAGGUGGUGGAGAGAAUGAAGUGGGGAAAGUGAGUGUGUAGGUGGCUGUCCAAAAUAUCUACCUGGUCCCAGGUUACUAAUGGUGCACCACCUACAAAUGCACCAUUAGUAACCCUGGUUACUAAUGGCGCACUAGCUGAUGGUGCGCCAUUAGUAGUUUUGCAAAAAAAAUGAUAGUAGUGGCGCACGGGGUGAGUGGUGCGCCAUUACUAGUUAAAACUAGUAAUGGCGCACUGUGCCCUGGUGCGCCAUUAGUAUUUUUGGAAAAUAAUAAUAAUAAAUUGUUAGUAGUGGCGCACCGUGGGUGUGGUGCGCCAUUAGUGUCCAUCACAUUAAUGGCGCACCAACACAUGGUGCGCCACUGCUAUAUAGUAGUGGCGCACCACAUGACUGGUGCGCCAUUAGUGUCCAUAUUAUCUAUAGCCCUUUUCCUAGUAGUGAGUAUUCAACCCAAUUUAUUGAUUUGACACAAGGGAAUCCAAAGAAUAUUUGCAAGUAUUAGCAGACGAGUUGUCAAUUCAACCACAUCCAAAGAUUUAUUAUCUGCAACAAUAUGAUCAGUAGCAAAGCAAUAUGAUAGUUUUGAUAGUAGUAGCAAUAGCAAUAGUGAUGAUAACAAUGAUAGCGAUUUUGUAGCAAGUAUAACGGUAACAACAACAGUAGUAACUUAGCAAGAACAAUAUAAGAGAAAUUUGUAGGCAUUGGAUCAGUGAAUUCGUUGGAUGAUAUUCAUCAUAUAACAGUCAUAACCUAGGGUGAUACGACAGUAGCUCCCGUUCAUAAAUAUAAUGUAGGCAUGUAUUUCGUAAAUUGUCAUACAUGCUUACGGAAAGAACUUGCAUGACAUCAUUUGUCCUACCCUCACGUGGCAGCGGGGUCCUAUUGGAAACUAAGGGAUAUUAAGGCCUCCUUUUAGUAGAGAAUUGGAACAAAGCAUUAAUACAUAGUUAAUACAUGAACUCCUCAAACUACGGUCAUCACCGGAAAGUAUCCCGACUACUGUCACUCUGGGGUUUACGGAUCAACACGUAAUAGGUGAAUAUAACUUGCAAGAUCGGAUCUAGAACAUAGAUAUAAUGGUGAUAACAUAAACAAUUCAGAUCUGAAAUCAUGACACCCGGGCCCAAAGUGACCAGCAUUAAGUAUGGCAAAGUCAUGUCAACAUCAAUCUCAGAACAUAGUGGAUACUAGGGAUCAAGCCUUAACAAAACUAACUCGAUUACAUGAUGGAUCUCAUCCAACUCCUCACCGACCAGCGAGUCUACGAAGGAAUUACUCACUCCCGGUGGGGAGCAUCAUGGAAUUGGCGAUGGAGAAGGGUUGGUGAUGACGAAGAUCGCAAGAUCCCCCUCUCCAGAGCCCCAAAUGGACUCCAGAUCUGGCCUGCUGAUGAAGAAUAGGAGGUGGCGGCGGCUCCGUCUUGUGAAACGCUAUAAUACUUUCUCCCAGAUUUUUUUCUCUGAAAAUAUGAUUUUAUAGUAUCAGGGUUGAGGUCUGCAGGGCCACCAGGUGGGGAAAACCCACCUGGGCGCGCCAGGAGGAGGGGCACUGGUGGGUUGUGCUCACCCUAGGGCCCCCCUCCGGUGGUUCUUGGCUCCAGUAUUUUUAUAUAUUCUGAAAUAAUUCUUCAAAAAGUUUCAUUCCAAUCUAAGAUUUUUUAUUUCUGCACAAAAACAACACCAUGGUAAUUCUAUUGAAAACAAUGUCAGUCCGGGUUAGUUUCAUUCAAAUCAUGCAAAUUAGAGUCCAAAACAAGAGUAAAAUUGUUAGAAAAAGUAGAUACGAUGGAGAUGUAUCAGACCGCCUUUCUUGAUUGCGUUGGCUGAAUGAAGACUAGUUGAUUGCUCCCCCAUACUCCAUAAUGGGUGAGCCACUCUUCGGCACAUCUUCAUAACUCCAUUGUCACCAUAAUGGAUGGCAAGAAACAAGCAUGAGAUCUCUUCGUGAUGCUCCACUUGAACUUGCACACCGCAAUCUUGAUGAUGAUCACCACUUGAUGUCAUCCUCCAUGGGUUAUAUAAUAUCUUCCUUUUGAUGCACGACCAUGGAAACAUACCGAAGCCCACAAACAACUCGUAGACCAUGGGUUAGUACACAAAAACUAAUGGACAAUGCUAAUUAUACCAUGGGAUCACUUGAUCCCUCUCGGUACAUGUUGUAUGCUUUGUGUGUUGAUCAACUUGAUUCACUCUUUGACUUGGUCUUGAUCAACCUUGUAUCAUGUCUUCUACAUGACCAAUCUUUGGAUAAUUCCUUGAAUAGCACAUUGAUCAUCACAUAAACUCCUUGAAACGAACACAUGGACUUUAAGAAAUGCUUAUGGGCAAAUCCUUCAAAUAUAGCUCAAGGCAACCAUUAGUCCAUAGAGAAUGUCAUCAAUUACCAAAACCACACAUGGGGGCACCAUGCUCUUUCAAUGUUGAUUUCAAGAUGACACCAAAUACACCUAGUCUUCGCAACAACACAAUUCAAGAGCUACCUACUGUGAGGAUGCAUGCACCAAUAUUCUUUUUUAAAACAAGAUAUAACCUCACCAAAGCAGUCAAUGAACAAGAAAACAUCAACAUCAAUCACCAACAUUGGCAACCCCUGAGAAACAUUCUCCAGCAAUGAUGUCUCUAGGAAGGGAAGGAGCAGUGCACAAUUACCGUCACAGUACAAGUAAUGAAGCUACACGUUAAGUUUAUUGCCAUCAUAAUACACACUUCAGCUUUUUGGUGAACUAUCCAUGCAAAGCACCAUCUCAUUCGCCAAAAGCUCCAGCUGAAAGAGAGGGCAAAUCAUUAUACUCUAACAAUCUUCUUCUAUCUAUGCUCCAUUGAAAUUACAGUGUGGGUAUUGGAAGCUAUGUUUUGCGAUUCGAAAGCAAAAUAAUAAUAAUCUAGACCUUAUAGAAAAAUAAGCAGUAAUUGCAAAAUGUUGAUACGGAGGACUAAAUCCCAGAUAGAGAUGUUUGAAAAUUUCAAGUCCCAGUCCCAUUUUUGUCAAGUAGUAACCGCAACACCUUCUAUGCUUUACUUCCUACCUACCACCUCACCGAAAGAAUCAAUUUCUGUCAUUUUACUAAGAAACACAAAACUGUGAAUAUAAUAGGGAGGGCUACACUUAUUUGUCUAGUUAUUUCUUUAUUGUAAACUAUAUGCAUCCAACCAAUUCACGCAUUAGUUCAAUGAUUUUAUCUCAAGUAAACCAUAAUGAUGAAAUAUGUCAUAGUUGAACUAUUAGGUUUUGUGACAAAUGGCAUAACGGACUUCCUUUGGAAAUCCUUUCUCUCAACUAAGCAAGUUUAUGGGGCUUCUACGCGAGGUACAACUCCCACAAACAAACUAGGUUACAAUGUGUUCAACCGCCUUUCUAGAAACCAUUGAAGCACCAAAUACAAGAUUAUAUGUUCACUAGGGAGAUACUGCAUUCAGUUCGUCAGGGUUUGUAUAGCAUUCCUAGGUGAAUGGUUUGACUCAUACCUGACAUGCACCGCGUAUUGAAACCUUGAGACAUAAUGUCGAAAAACACAAAUUGAUAGCUAACUAUAUUAGAUCUAGAAACAUCGACCCUCAUUUUUUUAAUCAUAAAGUGAUUUUACAAACCCCCGACAUGUUGUGUUUGGCGUGUACACGUAAUAGAUUAAUGGGCCUAGCAAAAAAACAAGACAAAUGCUAGGGAUGUAUGCCUCUGUUUUUUUAUUUACCCCGCAUAUUAGUUUAACUGAAGUCAAAUGUUAUAAAGUUUGACCAAGUUUGUAGGAAACAAUAGGAACAUUUAACAUAAAAAACCUAUGUCCUGUGAAAAUAUAUUCAAUGAUGAAUCUAAUGGUAUUGAUUUGUGGUGUAUAUGUUACUAUAUUUUUGUACCACUGUCGGUGUUAAAACCGGCGGAUCUCGGGUAGGGGGUCCCGAACUGUGCGUCUAGGCGGAUGGUAACAGGAGACGAGGGACACGAUGUUUUACCCAGGUUCGGGCCCUCUUGAUGGAGGUAAAACACUACGUCCUGCUUGAUUAAUAUUGAUGAUGUGUGCUACAAGAGUAGAUCUACCACGAGAUCAAGGAGGCUAAACCCUAGAAGCUAGCCUAUGGUAUGAUUGUUGUUCGUCCUACGGACUAAAGCCAUCCGGUUUAUAUAGACACCGGAGAGGGUGUUACACAGAGUCGGUUACAAUGGUAGGAGAUCUACAUAUCCGUAUCGCCAAGCUUGCCUUCCACGCCAAGAAAAGUCUCAUCCGGACACGGGACGAAGUCUUCAAUCUUGUAUCUUCAUAGUCUUGGAGUCCGGCCGAUGAUGAUAGUUCGGCUAUCCGGACACCCCCUAGUCCAGGACUCCCUCAGUAGCCCCUGAACCAGGCUUCAAUGACGAUGAGUCCGGCGCGCAUAUUGGCUUCGGCAUUGCAAGGCGGGUUCCUCCUCCGAAUAAUUUAUAGAAGAUUGUGAACACCAGGAUAGUGUCCGGCUCUGCAAAAAUAAUUUGCACAUACCACCAUAGAGAGAAUAAUAUUUCCACAAGUUCAAUCUGCUGACGUAUUUGAUGGCAUGACGUCACACCGCUACCAAGCCUUUACUUAAAUCGUUUUUAUUGUACCACCUCAGCGCGUUUAGCGAAGCGGUUUCCUUGGCACGUCUUGUCGAAGCAGAGAUCAUGUUCCCCUUAUUCCGGGAUUCCCAUCAAUACGGACGUGGGUAACCCAACCGCGCCAUUGAUUGCGGCGCUUGGGGGAUAAGCGAGUUUUAUCAGGCCGGUGGGGACGCAUGUUUUCGUCCGCCCAUAUAAGGGGAUAAAGAUCCAACCCUAUUACCUGCGCCUUCUUCCUCCUUGGCUUACCCAUCUCUGCGAACCCGAGCUCCAGCGCCCAAGCGCGCACAUCUCACCUCAACCUUCUCCAACUAUGUCCGGAGCAGGAGGCAAGUGGAUGGCCUCCUCCAUCACGGAGGGGCAGAUCUAGAAGCUGCGCAACGCCGGAUACUUGUCCAGCGACAUCGCGCACCGGCUCCCCAAUGAGGGAGAGCUCAUCCCCACCCCCAAGCCCCAUGAGAGGGUAGUAUUCCUUCCCCAUUUCCUCCGCGGACUGGGCUUCCCACUCCAUCCCUUUGUCUGGGGGCUCAUGUUCUACUACGGCCUGGAUUUCCAUGAUUUGGCCCCGAAUUUCAUCCUCAACAUCUCGGUGUUUAUCGUUGUGUGUGAGGCCUUCCUCUGCAUCCAGCCCCACUUCGGCUUGUGGCUCAAGACCUUCAGUGUCAAGCCGAAGGUUGUGAAGGGCAGCCAAGCGGAGUGCGGAGGCGCCAUGGUGGGCAGGAUGUCCCAUGUUACUUAGCUCGAGGGAACUUUCGUGGAAACCAUCAAGGGGUGGCAAUCGGGGUGGUUCUACAUCACCGAGCCGCGUGAUCCCGAAUGGGCAGCGGUCCCCGAAUUCAGAUCCGGCAUCCCCACACGGCUCACCUCCUGGAAAGAGAGCGGCCGGACAUGGGGUGAUUCGGAGGAGCUGACAGGACUCCAAGCUUGUAUCCAAAAGCUAGUGGACAAGAAGCUCAAGCUUGUCAACGUAGUCCAGGUCAUGCUCAUCUGCCAGAUUCUCCCGUGCCAACGACGGGGCUUCAACAUGUGGGAGUUCGAUCCGGCACAGCACCAGACUUUGAAUGGGCUCUUCGACACUACAUACGAAGAUGUCUCGAAGGUGCUAUUCAAGGGCGCCGAAGCUCCCGCAUCCGCUACCGAAGAUCGCGGAUUCAGCUCAGAGCGUCCAGCUGAUGAGGUAAGUUAUUUUGUCCUUUAAGGGACGCUUGUUUUCCAUAGUUUGACUCUAUGCGGGAUCUAAACUCCCUUUCCUUUGACAGGACUAGAUGAAGAAGGCCGAACAGGCUAUCUGUCCGGCCCCAUUGCCAGAGGACCCAGCGGAUGCCCGUUUGACGGGGCUGCUAGCUUCGGCACCCCAUGUGGUGCCGGAGAAGAAGGCCAAGAAGAAGGUCACAGGGACUCGGAAGAGUUCCCGCUUUCAGGUGCUAUCGGAUGACGACUCCGAGGCCGACUCCUCUCACCAAGGUGAGGAGGAGAAGAAGAAAGCCUCUUCCCCAGCGGGGGGAGAGAAGAAAAAGAAGGCCUCCCCAACGAGGGAGGCCGAGGGGUCCAAGAAGGGAAAAACUCUUCCCCCGGACUGCUCUGCCAAUGCCAGUGAUGACGACGAGGACUGGCCUCCAAGGGCCAAGCCCUAGGCGAGAUCGUGAGUAUCCGGACUCCCGAAUAACUUCAUGGUUUAUCUUUUUUGCCACACAAUGUCUUUCUAAUGCCGCAUACAACCCUGCAGUCCGCCCAAGGACGAUCUUCCCGCUUCGUCGAGCGGGUCCUUAGGUGCGUCGGAUAUGGAUUCUCUUCCGACCGCCUCCACCCCCCGUGACACGGACGAUGCCAAGGUGGGAUCCCGGGAAGGGACCCGCCAGGAGGAGGAGGCCCCGGAGGUGUCGCAGGACAACCUCCCGGACUUUGCACCGGACUCGGCUCCGGAUCCCAUAGUGGCUCCGGAGUUCGGCGGGCGGCCCCUUCGUAAGAAGGGCAAGACCGUGACACCGGCAGCCUCCGUCCAACCGAAGGCGCCGGAUAGCUUGCUGGAGGCGCUCAAUGGCGCCUCCAUCAAAGAGGAACACCGCACUGUUAUGAGUGCGGUGAUUUAGAAGGUGCAGCUCGCCAAGAGCGGGCUGACCGAAGCCUGCAACAGCCUUCUAACAGGCUUUGAGGUAAGAAUUUUGAUAUAUGUAAAAUAGUACCGCAUAGACAGUAGCCCCUGAUGCUCGGUUCGGUGUUCGGAAAGAAAAGCCGGACUGAGGAUCUAAGAAGAUAUACGCAGGAGUCAUAAAAAAUAUGUCGAUAUGGGAUUGCAGGCUGCGCUGCUGACCUCUGCCGCACUGACUGCGGAGGUCAAUACUUUGAAGGAAGGCCUCGAGAGGUCCGAGAAUGAGCUCGGCCGUGCCAAGAAGCAGCUCGAGGACAAGGAAGGUGAGUAACACCUUAUUAAAAUUGUACCUUACAGAAAAGGAUUUUGGUUGCAAAAUGAAGGACAAGGAUAACAUGGGUAUUGCAGGGGCCACUAACGAGGUGGCGACCCUGAAAGAGGCGGUGGCUGCGACCGAACACAAUGCGGCCGCGGAGCGCACCGAGCGAGAGAAGCGGGAGGCACGGGUGGCGGAGGUACAGCAAGAGCUCCAGGAUCUCGUGAAAAAACAUGAGAGCCUGGAGCGUGACUCGACGACUCGAGAGUCUGAGCUUGCAACGGCUCUUAAGAGUGCCAAAGCCGCUAAGGCCGAAGCCUACAAGGCCCUCCAGGAAAUCGAGGCGUUGAAGAAAAUAGCAGCGGGUAAGGCAUUUUUCAUGCAAAGUAAGCAUGUGAGUGUUAAUUACCUGUUGCUUACCCGAAUUCGGAGCUCUCCAGGAGCGUUCGCAGAUCUUCCUCGCAGCGUGUCCGAUGCUGCCGCGUUCUACCGGGCCGAGGAGGGGAGCUCGACGGAGAAGGUCUUCUGGUCUCAGUAUGCUGAGGCCGGACAUCCGGUGCCCCUUAGCGACCAGCUAAAGCAGCUGGUCGAGCUCUACAAGGUGGCCGAACAGGCCAUGAAGGGCCUCAUAGUUCGGCUGUGGCCUAAGGAGGCCAUGCCUGGGAGCUACUUCGGCCUGGUGCGGCGGCUGGUGGAUGCGUGCCCGUGGGUCGAAGUCAUCAAGCACUCCGUCUGUAUUGAAGGUGCCCGUCGGGCCCUUGCCCGCUCAAAGGUGCACUGGGGCAAGAUGGAUGCCUAGAAGCUCGUGACGGACCCACCACCGGAGCGCAAGGAGCAUCGCACGCCCGAGAUGUAUUAUAAGAGUGUGCUGAAGGGCGCCCGCACUAUUGCGGGUGAGUGCUCCAAAGAUGUAAUAUUUGAGUAGACUCGCAUUUUGUUAUCCUGUGCGCUGAAAACUUAGUUCAUUUGCGCUAAGCAACGUGUUUUGAUUUAAAAUAUUACCUUCUGUGCGGCUGUUUAUCAAAUCUGAGAGAUGGCAAGUCGUCGGCUUCAGCCCCCAUGCCACGAGUGCUGGGGUGUUCGGGAUAAACUUGAGCACUCUUGUUCCCAUAUUUGGGUCCAUCUAGGGAGGCGCUCAACACAACGAACAAGGCAACCGGACUUAUAAUGCUUGAACACUCUCACUUAGCCAUAAAAUUCUAUAAUUUUAAAUUUCGGCGAAGCCCCUAAUCUUCGGAAGGCCGAAUUUGGGGCGCUAUCCAUGCCUUGGCCGGACAAAAACCGGCUCCUCGCUCUAAGCGGCAUAAGUCUUUAGGGACUCACAAAAAACCUCUCGAACAGCGACCAGCUCUCACCUCAUCAUGACGGUCAGUUUUAGCUUUCUCCACUGAGGCGUUAACCCAGCUCAACUGGGGCGCAAUCGCAGUGGUUCUCCCAGUGCUACCUUAGCCGAUACAACGGAACAUAAGGUACCAAAACAUGGGAGCCGGGCAAACCCAACUAUUGACCCAAGACAUGAUUCGGAGCUGAUGCAUAUAUUGCUAUAAGUUCGGGGUGCCGCACUUGUGAAAGUGUUCGGACUUAUCACACCAUGAUGCGGGAAACAUAAGCCCCUGGUGUAUUUAGCCAUACCAGAACGUACGGAUGCGUAAUGUCACAAAUGAACAUAUGUAUAAAAAAGAAAUGCAAUUGCAAGCAAAAAAAGGUGCUGCAUUACUUAUUAAAGAAAAAUUGUUGUAAGUGCAGAACGAUACAAAUGGUGCGAUAAGCAAGGGAUGGGACUGUUAAACAUGUCCCCCUCCAGGGGUAGGCUGCGGAAUGGUGCAUAAAACAGAUUUAAUGCUCGUAAUGGAGACCACCUGGAUAGUCGUUGUAGCCUUUCUUCUUCCCUAGCUAUUGCAUCGUGAGUUCGGCAGGUCUACUACCGGACAGGGCCUCUGACGAACGGAGUCCUGUGGGUAAAAAUAAAAAAAAGGAAAAAGAAAAAAAAGAACGACACACUUGAGAGCCCCUGGUGUGGUUGAGCCGCAGUCUGGGCCUAUCGUGGUCGUGCCCCUCUCCCCAUGCCCAUGGUAUCUUCAGAGCGUAAUGGUGUACGCGAAGGACCUGUCUUGAUGUUUUACAGGGGCUGGGGUUGGGGCCGCACUGCUACGCAUGCUCGACACGUGCCAGGUGGUCUUGUUGUAAGUUACUCCGGGCGCGCUUAGCUGUGUACGGCCGCUUAAUGGCCGAACUCGAGAAUUGCCUUAAGAGGCUGCAUUGUACUUCUGCCGCGAGAGCCGUUGUAUGUUCCUCCGUGCGGAGAGAACGUUCAGUGUUUCCGUUGACCGUGAUGACUUCUCGAGGGCCUGGCAUCUUGAGCUUGAGGUAUGCGUAGUGCGGCACCGCGUUGAACUUUGCGAAUGCGGUACGUUCGAGCAGAGCAUGAUAGCCGCUGCGGAACGGAACUAUGUCGAAGAUUAAUUCCUCGCUCCGAAAGUUAUCCGGGGAUCCGAAGACCACUUCUAGUGUAACUGAGCCUGUGUAAUUGGCUUCUACACCUGGUAUGACGCCUUUAAAGGUCAUCUUGGUAGGUUUAAUCCUUGAGGGGUCUAUGCCCAUUUUGCACACUGUGUCCUGAUAAAGCAGGUUCAGGCUGCUGCCGCCGUCCAUCAGGACUCUGGUGAGGUGAAAUUCAUCGACGAUUGGGUCUAGAACCAAUGCGGCGAAUCCGCCAUGGCGGAUGCUGGUGGGGUGGUCCCUCCGGUCAAAAGUGAUCGGGCAGGAGGACCAUGGAUUGAACUUCGGGGCAACUGGCUCCAUCGCAUAUACAUCCCUGAGUGCACGCUUCCGCUCCCUUUUGGGUAUGUGCGUUGUGUAUAUCAUGUUCAUCGUCCGCACCUGUGGGGGGAAACCCUUCUGUCCUCUAUUGUUCGGCGGCCGGGUCUCUUCCUCGUCAUCGUUGUGCAGCCCCUUGUCAUUGUUUUCGGCAAUUAACUUGCCUGCCUAUUUGAAUACCCAACAGUCCCUGUUGGUGUGGUUGGCUGGCUUUUCCGAGGUGCCAUGUAUUUGGCACAAGCGGUCGAGUAUUCGGUCCAAAUUGGACGGACCCGGAGUAGUUCUUUUAAAUGGCUUUUUCCGCUGACCGGGUUUAGAGCCUCUGAAUCCGGCAUUGACUGUUGUAUCUUCACUGUUAUCGCCGUUAAUGCGGCGUUUGUUUUUGUUGCGAUGCGACCUGCCACUACGGUCCUUGAAAUCCGGACUGCCAGAAUUUUUGCUGAGGUUAUUGCUGCGUGCUAGCCAGCUGUCCUCACCCGUGCAGAAGCGGGUCAUGAGUGAUGUGAGGGCUGCCAUUGAUUUCGACUUUUCCUGUCCUAGGUGCCGGGCCAGCCACUCGUCGCGGAUGUUGUGCUUGAAGGCUGCUAGGGCCUUUGCAUCCGGACAGUCGACGAUUUGGUUUUUCUUUGUUAGGAACCGUGUCCAGAAUUGUCUGGCCGAUUCGUCUGGCUGCUGAAUUAUGUGGCUUAGAUCGUCGGCGUCUGGUGGUCGCACGUACGUGCCUGGAAGUUAUCGAGGAAUGCGGCUUCCAGGUCUUCCCAACUCCCGAUUGACUCUGCUGGCAAGCUGUUAAGCCAAUGUCGGGCUGGUCCUUUAAAUUCGAGUGGGAGAUAUUUGAUGGCGUGAAGAUCAUCACCGCGGGCCAUGUGGAUAUGGAGGAGAUAGUCUUCGAUCCAAACCGCGGGGUCUGUUGUGCCAUCGUAGGAUUCAAUGUUCACGGGUUUAAACCCUUCAGGGAUUUGAUGAUCCAUUACUUCGUCUAUGAAGCAUAGUGGGUGUGUGGCGCCUCUGUACUGGGCGAUAUCGCGACGAAGCUCAAAAGAGCUUUGUCUAUUUUGUUCGGCCCGGCCGGACUUACUGUGUCCGGCACGACGGUUGUCGCCACGUAUCAUGGGGCGCCCACGCGAUCCAUAGAUCGAUCUUGAUUGUCUUGCCUUACCCUCCAAUAUAUCUCGCAAGUCCGGAGCGUUCCCCUGUGGCUUUGUGCUCUUCGAGCGAUGCCGGGGUACGGUUCUAGUGAAGGGCCUAGAAGCCUCUCUGUCACGACCACGGGGUGGUCGGUCAGCCGUAUUGUCUGCUAGUGAUGUAGGUUCGUAUGCCUCCUCCUCUAAUCGGGGGAGCAGCUUGCGUUUAGGGUAACUUUUGGAGGGGCGUUCGAGCUCAUGCUCUUCGGCCGCGAGGACUUCAGUCCAUCUGUCGGCUAGCAGAUCUUGAUCAACUCUAAGCUGUUGGUGCUUUUUAUUUAGGCUGUUUGCCAUGGCCAUAAGCCUGCAUUUAAAACGCUCUUGUUCGACGGGAUCCUCAGGCACGACGAAUUCGUCGUCGUCGAGGCUUGCCUCGUCUCCGGAGGGAGGCAUGUAGUCCUCUACCUCUUCUUCUGCCGCUCUCUCAUGAGGGCUGGCGUCCCCAUCCUCCCGUGCUGAAUUUUGCUAGAGUGGGUUGUCUUCGGCACUAUCUGGGGUGUUAUUAUCUCUGGUGCCGGAAUCUUCAUUCUUGCUAUGGCAGGAUUAGAGCGGCGCCGCUGACGCCGACGCUUGGGCUGUUUCUUGGAGGGGUCAUCCUCCGCUGCCCCUUCGCCAUUCCCAUCCUUUGGGAUAUCCACCAUGUAUAUAUCAUAUGAUGAGGUGGCUUUCCAGUGCCCGAUAGGCGCUGGUUCUUGGUCAUCUCCGGCAUCGUCGUCCAUACCGUCGAUGUCUUCGGAGUCGUAGUCUAGCAUGUCGGUUAGGUCAUCAACAGUGGCUACCAAGUGGGUGGUGGGUGGGUUUUGAAUUUCUUCAUCGUCCGCAUCCCAACCGUCCUGGCCGCAGUCCGGCCAGGGCUCUCCUGAUAAUGAGAGAUACUUUAGCAAACUCAGGAUGUCGCCAAAAGGUGAGUGUUGAAAGAUGUCCGAGGCAGUAAACUCCAUGAUCGGCGCCCAACCGGAUUCGAUUGGUGGGGGCGCGGGAGGUUCGUAGUCCGGCAAGGAGUCCGGCGCCUUGGAGUCACGAGCUUCAUGAGGGACAAGGUCAGUGUUCGGCUCUAUCACCAUAGAGGUUGCAGCCCCCGAGGCGGCGUCUAACCAUCCAUCCUCGAUCUGCGCAGCCGGCUCUGAAUUGAAGAUCGGAGCAGGCUCAAGUGCGGCCUCCAGGGUACUGUCCGGUCGCAGAGCUAAAUCAUGCUCGUCGUGACAGUGCGGCACGCUCGGCUGUGGCUCGAAUCCAUCGAGGAUCAAGUCCCCACGGAUGUCAGCCGUGAAGUUCAAACUUCCAAAUCUGACCUGACGGCCAGGGGCGUAACUUUCGAUCUGCUCUAGAUGGCCAAGAGAAUUGUCCCGCAGUGCAAAGCCGCCGAAUACGAAGAUCUGUCUGGGGAGGAAGGUCUCACCCUGGACUGCGUCGUUGAUGAUGAUCGGAGAAGCCAUUGAGCCUAUCGGCGACUGCACAGAGGAACUCUCAAUGAAAGCACCAAUGUCGGUGUCAAAACCGGCGGAUCUCGGGUAGGGGGUCCCGAACUGUGUGUCUAGGCGGAUGGUAACAGGAGACGAGGGACACGAUGUUUUACCAAAGUUUGGGCCCUCUUGAUGGAGGUAAAACCCUACGUCCUGCUUGAUUAAUAUUGAUGAUGUGUGCUACAAGAGUAGAUCUACCACGAGAUCAAGGAGGCUAAACCCUAGAAGCUAGCCUAUGGUAUGAUUGUUGUUCGUCCUACGGACUAAAGCCAUCUGGUUUAUAUAGAUACCGGAGAAGGCUAGGGUUACACAGUGUCAGUUACAAUGGUAGGAGAUCUACAUAUCCGUAUCGCCAAGCUUGCCUUCCACGCUAAGGAAAGUCCCAUCCGGACACGGGACGAAGUCUUCAAUCUUGUAUCUUCAUAGUCUUGGAGUCCGGGCGAUGAUGAUAGUUCGGCUAUCCGGACACCCCCUAGUCCAGGACUCCCUCAACCACCUUGGUGAAAGAAUAUAAAGUUUAAUUUUACACAAAGCUAAUAUUUGAAGUAAAUAAAGAUGAAAUUGGGUGGGGGAGGGGGUGGGUUGACGACAAACCACGACAUUCUAGAGUGUCCUUUAAUUAAUGUUAUCUCGUUAAGUAAUACUUUGCCCCUAAGAUUCGUAGGAUUCCGAAGGCGUGGAUAUGAAAAAGUAGAUACAAGUACAAUGUGAUAUCCAACUGAAUCAUAAAAUAUUUGUGAAUUUUGAACCAAAGUUUGUUUGAUUGUACUCCCUUCGUUUCAUAUCAGUUGUCAAGUGGUUUGAGUCAAUGCAAAUUUCUUAUAUAAUGCAAGCACAAUGCAAAUAACUACCAUCGCAAACAAUUAUAUGAAAAUCCACUGAAUGAAAGAGGCCCAUCAACUUAGAAAUUCCUUGCAAUAUGUACUCAUAUAAGGCCUUCCUCCUAUGCCCUUGCCCAGGCAGGGGGCUGGAGCAGCAGCGGCCCCGUCCGCCCCGCGAUCCUUGGCUUCUCAAGCCGAGUCGGUCAUGCCGUGUCCAACAUGGAUGGUUCAAAGAGGAGUUCUGGGGGACCACGCACAGGAGGGCUAGGGCUUCCUGGCCCAUGCCGCAAGAUACAGUAGACUUCUGUGUACUUCAAGACGUCAGGGGCAUCGGUGGAACAUCAUCGGAAACCACGAAAGCCGCCAGAUCGAGCCAACCUCCCUACCGUGAAGCCUUUGUCCGAGCGCCCGCCCGACGAGAGGGCAUCGCCUGUUCUCGAAGGAAAAGUGCCGCCAGCGCUUGAGGAGAACCUGGUGGUUGGUGGGGGCGAUUAUGGGGCUCCCUCCGAGGAUGCUACCCGCCUGAAGCCUUCCAUCGGGGGAGCCGAAGAUGUUGUGGCGACGAACCCGUGGGUGCAGACGCUCUUCAUAUGCAAAGCCGGUACACCAAACAAGUGUCAGACUAUGGAGUCUCUGGAGGGGCAGCAGACUCGUGUGGAAGGAGAUAUGCAUGACCAGGACAUGCUGGAGAGAACAAACACCAUGGAGGCAGUCGGCCCAGGGGCCGCUGAUGAACUGACGGGGCUCGUGGAGCCUCGUCAAGAGCAAUGAACAUCCUGAGCUGGAACUGCUGAGGAGGUGGGAACCCUCAGACAGUUUGGGAUCUCGUGAGUCUAGUACAGGCUCACUCCCCUAGUAUCGUUUUUCUUUGUGAAACUAGGUAGUCGAAAAAUGAAAUGAAGAGAUAUCGUGCUCGUUUAGGUCUUAGUGGUUUUGAUGCUUCUGAUAGCAUAGGCUUCAGUGGUGGUCUUGCUUUGUAUUGGCACGAGUCAUUGAGUCUGGAUGUAAAAACUAUUAAUGAAAGAUACAUCGAUGCGUACGUGACUGGUAUGGCAGGUGAGCCACCCUGGAGGCUUACUUGCGUCUACGGCGAACCCCGGACGGAGGACCGUCCUCGCAUGUGGUCUUCCCUUCGGGAACUUCAUCAACAAACCAACAUGUCGUGGACGAUGAUUGGUGAUUUUAACGAAGCCAUGUGGAGUUUUGAGCACUUCUCCGAAACACCACGGUCGGCAGGUCAGAUGAUUGCUUUCAUGAUGUUCUUGAAGUUUGCGGCUUGGGCGACCUUGGUUUUGCAGGCCUUCCAUAUACAUAUGAUAAUCGCCGAGGAGGGCGGGCGAACGUCAAGGUCCGCAUCGACAGGGAUGUGGCAAACAAUUCCUGGAGGGAUAUUUUCUCUCACGCCAAGGUGGAGCACCUUGUGGCGCCCAGCUCGGACCAUCUUCCCAUUUUGCUGCAGUGUGUGAUGGAGGAGCCCGUGCACACAGUCGGGAGAAAAUGUCGCCAAUAUGAGGUUAUGUGGGAGAUGGAUCAUACUCUCCCUGAGGUAAUUAUGAAUGCAUGGACUGAGUUGGGUUCAAUGCUUAAUCUCGGUGAUAUAGCUACUGGUUUGGGUAAUAUGAUGAAUAAGUUGCAGCAGUGGAGUCGUAAGAAGUUUGGUAAUGUAAUCAAGGAAAUUAAUAAAUCUCGCUCUCGUUUAGAGGAACUUAUGUCUAUGAAUGCAGACAGGAAGGAGAUUAGAGCGGCAAUAGACCGGAUGAACGAGCUCCUGUACAGGGAAGAAAUGCUUUGGAUGCAAAGAUCGUGUAUUGCUUGGCUGCGGGAAGGUGACCGGAAUACCCAGUUCUUUCAUCGAAAAGCGGUAUGGCGUGCACGGAAAAAUCGUAUAGAACUUCUUGUCGAUGAGGCAGGAGUGACCCACAAGGACCAUGCUUCUAUGGCGGCUAUGGCUACUGCAUAUUUUUCGAGUUUAUUUGCUGCUGAUACUACCCUGGCUCCAGAACCUGUUAUCGAUCUCAUUAAUACCCGUGUUACUGACCGCAUGAAUGAUGGCCUAUGCGCAGAUUUUUCAGACAAGGAGAUAGCCGAUGCACUGUUCCAGAUUGGGCCUCUGAAAGCCCAGGGACCGGAUGGAUUCCCCGCUUGUUUCUUCCAGCGGAAUUGGGCGGUCAUGAGGGAACAAGUUAUUGCUGGGGUAAAGGAAUUUUUUCGCACAGGUAUCAUGCCCGCGGGAGUGAACAACACAUCCAUUGUUCUUAUACCAAAGGUGGAUAACCCGGAGAGGUUAACAGAGUUCCGCCCCAUCAGCCUGUGCAACGUUAUUUAUAAGGUGGUGGCAAAAUGUCUGGUAAACCGGUUGAGGCCUAUUUUAGAUGACAUUAUUUCACCGGAGCAGAGCGCCUUUGUUCCUGGAUGGAUGAUUACUGAUAAUGCUUUAAUUUCUUUUGAGUGCAUUCACUUUAUUCAGCAGGAGAAAGACCCUGACAAGAGUUUCUGUGCGUAUAAGCUGGAUCUGUCUAAGGCAUAUGAUAGGGUGGAUUGGAUCUUCUUGGAGCGAAUGAUGCAAAAGAUGGGCUUCGCUUGCCAAUGGGUGGACUGGAUUAUGGCUUGCGUCACCUCGGUGAGAUACACAGUAAAAUUUAAUGGAACCCUCUUGGAUUCGUUCGCACCGUCACGUGGGCUUCGACAAGGUGAUCCCCUAUCCCCGUUUAUGUUUCUGUUGGUGGCUGGCGGGCUUUCUGCUUUGUUGAAAGAUGGAGAGGAGAAAGGUGCUUACACACCGCUGGAAAUCUGCCGAAGAGCUCCGGGUGUGUCACACUUGCUUUUUGCGGAUGAUACUUUGUUGUUCUUUAAAGCAGAGGAGGAACAAGCAAAAAAGGUUCAGGAAGUACUUAAUAUGUAUGAACGGGUUACUGGACAGUGUAGUAACCCAGAUAAGUGCAGUGCUCUCUUUGGUCCAUCAUGUGCCGUGGACAUACAGGAUAGUAUACGGGUUGUCCUUCACAUUGGUGUGAGCACCUUUGAGGAAAAAUACCUAGGACUUUCGACGCCAGAGGGUCGUAUAUCACGAGGUAAACUUCAGAAUUUGCAGUCACGGCUGAUGAAGAGGACCAUUGCUUGGGGUGACACUCUUUCUCUUGCUGCCAAGGAGAUUAUGAUUAAAGCAGUCGCACGGGCUAUCCCAACUUAUAUUAUGGGUGUUUUUAAACUGCCUAUGUCAGUGUGUGAUGAUCUGAACAGAACGGUGCGAAAUUUUUGGUGGGGAUCUUCAGAGGGCAAGAGGAAAACUCACUGGUUGGCAUGGCCAAAAAUUCUGGCGCACAAAUCCCAGGGCGGAUUGGGUUUCAAGACUUCCGGGUGUUCAACCAAGCUCUUCUCACGAGACAGGCAUGGUGCUUGCUAGCUAAGCCUGAUAGUUUAUGUGCGCAGGUGUUAAAGGCUCGGUAUUAUCCUGAUGGACGCCUUGAGGAUACAGUAUUUGCCGGAAAUGCUUCGCCUACUUGGCAGGCCAUCCAGCAUGGCCUCGAGCUCCUGAAGAAGGGCAUCAUCUGGCGUGUCGGGAAUGGACAGAGCAUCCGCAUCUGGCGGGACCGCUGGGUACCCCGGGAGCCUUCACGCCAUCCCAUUACACAGCAAGGCACCUGUCGGCUGAGAUGAGUGGCGGAUCUUCUGGAUGAUGCCGGCGCUUGGCAGAUGGACUUGCUACGCCGACACUUCCUCCCGGCGGACAUUGACGCGGUCACCAGUAUCCGCACCUCGCCCCACAUCACCGACGACAUUAUCGCAUGGGCGCCGGAGAAGAACGGUAUAUUCAUCGUUUGAUCCGCCUAUCACUUCGCCAUGGACGAGCGGGAACGUCCACUGGCUACCUCCACGAGCAGGGCACCAGAUGGUCGUCGCGCCAUCUGGAAGAUCAUAUGGGGGUGCCCUGCCCCCCCUAAGGUACGCGUGUUUGCAUGGAGAGUAGUGACCAACUCGUUGGCUACCUGGGCCAACAAAUUUUCUCGUCAUCUUGAGCUUACUGACAUAUGUCCUCUUUGUGGUGUGGAACGAGAGGACGGCUUCCAUGCAUUAUGCAGAUGCCCACUUGCUAGAGAGCUGUGGCGGAAUAUGGAGACGGACUGGCCAAUCCCAAAGCUCGAGGGAAUUUGCAAUAACGACCCAGAGUGGCUGUUUUCCCUCCUGGAACCACUAGACGGAACGGCACGCCUGGUCACCCUCAUGAUUAUGUGGCGAACCUGGUACGUGCGCAAUGAGAUUACUCAUGGAAAGAAGCCACCCCCAACAGAAGCAUCCCGCCGCUUCCCCAACGGGCACAUUAAUUCGCUUCUAUGCAUUCAUCACUACCCAAAUGGAGACGUGGAGAAAGGAAAGAUGAUCCUGCAUGUUACCCCACCGGCCACAACUUUAUGUACUGAGCAGAAGCAGGAGCUACGUUGGGCGCCGCCCGGCCCGAGCUGGACGAAGUUAAACACUGAUGGCAGUUAUGUCCCAGCUACAGGCGUUGCAGGAGGGGGCAUGGUCCUCCGCGAUGACAGAGGAGAGAUCAUCUUCAGUGCGUGUAGGGAGAUACGCACAUGUGAUAACAGCCUGCAUGCGGAACUUGCAGCAUGCAGAGAGGGCUUGGAAUUGGCUUUGCAUCGGACCAACCUACCCAUCGUGGUGGAGCUGGAUAGUGUGGAAGCGGUCACGAGGCUUACAACACAUGUGAUGGACCGCUCACAGCACCGUGUUCUAGUUGACGAGAUUCGGAGGAUAGUUACAUAAGAGGAUAGAGAGAUUUUUUUUACUCACUGUAGACGAUCUCGGAAUAAAGUUAGUCAUGAGUUGGCCGCGUACGGCCGUAGUACCCCCCGCACUGCUGUGUGGUUGCGAUCAGGGUUGGAAUUUGUUGUAAACCUAUCCAAGGCUGAUAAGCCUCCUUGAGUAAUGAAAAUCUCCUUUCACCCUGCAAAAAAAUGUACUCAUAUAAGGCUAGCUUUUUUUCCUGUUAAAAAAGAUAAAUAAUGGAGAAAUAUUUGGGAAGAUAACACUUGGCACUCGGUUGGUGGAACACGUCACAAUAUUAUUUCGAAUUGAUCUGUAACCAGAAUCUCAAUGCAAAAUACCCCAAGCAUACAACCGAGACCACGCAUGCACCCCAUCGCAUGGCCUCCACACGCCUUGUCGAUAUCCAUGGUGGCAUCUGCGCCGGCCGGGUGUCACGGAUCCCCCUUCACUCCCUCAGCGUGUGAACGUGGACGCUCCAACCCAACCGUGCCCCGUGUUCAGGAUAAGCUGGCCGGCUCGUCCGCCCUUCUUAUUGCCGCUGCUUCUCAUCUCACACGCUCCAACACUAUCCUCUCCUCCACCGAGUAUCCGCCUACGGAGUAGUACCUCGCAAGCUAGCUCGCAGCUCCGCCGCAAUGGCCACCGUAUUGAGCAGCCUCCGCUUGCCCUUCUCCGUCUGCCCCGCCGCCCCUUCGGCGCCCAUGGCGGCAUCCCGCGUCGCGCUCCCGCUGUCGUCGACGGCCGCCAGGGGCAUGAGGCUCCGCGCGCAGGCGACGUACAAGGUGAAACUGAUCACGCCGGAGGGCGAGGUGGACCUCGAGGUCCCCGACGACGUCUACAUCCUCGACCACGCCGAGGAGGAAGGGAUCGACCUGCCCUACUCCUGCCGCGCCGGCUCCUGCUCCUCCUGCGCCGGGAAGGUGGUCUCCGGCCAGCUGGACCAGUCCGACCAGAGCUUCCUCGACGACGACCAGAUCGAGGCGGGGUGGGUGCUCACCUGCGCCGCGUACCCCACCUCGGACCUCGUCAUCGAGACCCACAAGGAGGAGGAGCUCACCGCUUGAAUUCACUGAUUUGUUUAGUUCGACCCGUUUCCACCGUGCGCGUGUACCAUGCACGACAUUCGAACUGUAUCAGGAUAUUGAGGAGUUGCAAAGUACAGUACGUAAUUAGUACUUGCUGUUGUGGUCGGAUUUUGAUUGCUUUUGCUUAUUAAUGCCUAGUGUUAAUUUUCUCAAGUCAAUCAAGUAAUAAAAGGAGAUGAGAUUGUACUCCAUGUCUCCGUUACGCGUGCCUCGCGAUUCACUUAUGAUUUAGAUCCUUUUUAGUUUGCAUAUAAGUU